UUUUCUUAUCUAAUAAUAUUCUUAACACCCAUAUUUCAUGUGUACAAUUUUAUGAGACUGAGAGAAUAAUAUACUAAUAAUAUUAUAUAAAUAAAAUUUUAAUUUAAAAUACCUUAAUCCACGAGACCGCUAAACAAAAGAGUUGAGAUACAUGUACGUUGAAUUAUUAUCACCAUUAUUGCGUUGUUUUGCCAUAAAUUUGAAUCUUAGGUGAUAUCGAUGUUCUUUUAUGCACGGCUACAAAGAGACAUCAUGAUUAUUCCCACUUUAAUUUCGUUGCCCCAACUGUAUUUUUAUAUAAGGUGUUAUACUAAAGCAGGAAAAGAAAUUAGAAUCACACUCGACUUUACCAUCCCGUUAAAUUAAAAAGUUUUGUAUUUUCUUCUUCAAAAUUACAACUGUAAAUAUGAUAAAGGUGACAUGUAAGCAUUGUCGUAUUUAACCCAUGUGUAUUAAAUGUGAAAAUAAAUACCAAAUAUAUAUGAUAAUAUCUCGAAAACGUAUGAAUAAAUAUUCUUUUAACAGAUUUUUCAUAUAUUUAUAUAUAUAUAUUUUAAUGACAGGUAGAUUAAGUCGACCCAUUUUUUUUUUUUGACAAAAUGCAAAUUCACUCCAUUAAAUUAAAACAAGUCUAGUCGGGACAGAUCCCCAACUGACAAUGCAAUCAGGUUAAUAAACAAUAAAACGAGCUAAACAAAUAGCCGUAUUGUUUCCAGACUGCUUAACACAAUGAAUCCAAUGAUUCUUGAAAUUGAAAACGAAUACAAAGGCUUCUUGAGUAAUCCAGCCUACAUCAAUCCCGAAAAUGGUAGCUUCACAAUCGACCUUCACAAUAGUUCCAUGGCUGUUGCGGUGUUCAGACGACUCCGUUGUAAAAACUAAGCAAUGAGGAACAAGAAUCCUCGAAUAAUGAACAACUAUAAUUUGUGAAAGGUGAGCACAUGCGAUCACCACUGUUCCAAGUAUACCCCAGCUAUCUACAUGCCGGGAGCCAGCUAUAGACAUGCCGAAAGUAUUAAUGAUGCGAUAAACCAGAUCUCCCAAAACUCCAUCCCAAUCAUUCUCAUUGAUAAUACAGGAAGACAUAACAACCACAAAUAUAACACCCAAAAAUUGGGUACUAAAUCAACACACGCCAAAAGGCGAGACGGAAAAACACAAUCGGACCUUUGAUUUCAAAAGAUCUGAUUUAUUCAGAAAACAAUCAAGUUGUGUCCCGAUUUAUAUGUUCUGCGCGGGAUUAUAAUUGGGAGGAAGUAAUUUGGUGAAACUGCGGUCUUGGGCCGUUUAAAUCACACAAAUAACCCUAAAUAAUCUGGACUAGAACAUGAGUGGGCCAAAACCAAAAAAACAAAACCCGGUCUAUUCAGAAAAAGCCCAAAAAACCCUUCCGUAAAUUACGUAAAGGUGAUAGCUUAGCGUAACAGAAAUAGAUGAAAAACGGGCCCACCGAAAUGAAUGGAGGUAGAGAGGCGGUGGGGACGCGCUUAGUUGCCUUUUUCUGCUUUUGCAUGUGACUCCUGCUACUCGGUGCCAGUGCCAUUCCAGCUCACCGACACUAGUCUCUCCAAUCAAUCUAUCUUUCUAUAAAUAAUAUUAUUCAUUUUCACUCUUCUUCUUGAAGCUCAAGAAAAAAUGGCGAGACUCGUGAUAUUGAUGCUGCUCUGUGUCCUCCCAGCCUUGGCCACUGCAAGAUUCUUACAUCAUGCCAAGCCGUUUGUCGUGCAAGGACGUAUCUAUUGUGACACUUGCCGUGCUGGCUUUGAAACCUCGGCAACUACUUACAUCCCUGGUACUACUUAUGUUUAAACACUGUCUGUUUUUGAUUUUUUUCCAAGUGGAUUAGAUUAGUUUGUUGAUCUUGUUUAAAUGGAGUGAUAGUAGCAUUUUAAGGCCAGAUCUAUAAUUUUAAAAUUUUGUGCUGUAGCCUGUAGGAUCUAAAAGAACGAGGACUGAAAUUCAUUAUUAAGGAGAAUGAGAAUGUCAUUUUUUUUUUAAUAUUUUAUAAAUCUAGGGGGUGUGAUUUUAACUCUGAUUUUAAAACUAAAAUCAAAAUCCGAUCGGUCUAAUCCAUAGAUUAAAAACAAUCCAUUAAAAUCUUAAUUGAAUACCAUUUCCUAAUGUCCAUGUUUAGUGAGCGGGUUGAAAUCUCGUGAUCCAAACGGGGGAUAAGGGUAGACAAUGGUUGAUGAGUGGCAUUAAUUAAGUGAGUUUUGUUGAUUGCAGGGGCUAGGGUGAGAAUUGAGUGCAGGGACAGGAAGAGUUUGGCACUCACCUAUAGCAUUGAAGGAGUCACUGAUUCCACCGGAACAUACAAGCUCACCGUGGCUGAUGACCAUCUUGAUGAAGCCUGUGAUGCUAUGCUAGUGAGCAGUCCCGAUCCGUUGUGUUCUGAACCCAAUGCAGGACGUGACAAGUCUCGUGUCAUCCUAACCCGAUCCAAUGGAAUGACCUCUGAUCUUCGCUUUGCCAAUAACAUGGGAUUCCUUAAGAGCGAACCAAUGACUGAGUGCACUCAGGUCCUCCAGAUGUACAAGGAAACGGAGGAUGAAGAUUAGGGCCUCUUGCUCUUGGUACCUUUCUAUGUUAUUAUAUGUGGAUGAUGCUACUAGAGGCUUAAUAACUUCUGCUGUGUAACUUUAAAUUGUUUGUCUUCUAUUUAUUCAUUUUGAUCUGUGACUCCACGUUUAUUUAUGCUCACUUAAUUGUGGCCUAUACUGCCGGACCAAUUUAGUUAUCUAGUUAUCAUAUGAAUGUAUUGGUAUUAUUGUUCUCAUGUGCUUUGUUCAUUCCAUAGAUUCUGGACAUGAUUUCUGUUGAAUAUUGCAUUCCUGUUAUAACUUCUUAAGCGGUGUCAAAUCUGUUAGUAAUAGAGACUGUGGUUCUUGCUGCUAAUUGGGCGUAAUUUGCAAUCAAAUAAGUUAUAUAGAAGCAAAACUUGCUAGGGGGAAGGGGUUUGGUUUCUGGAAGGCAGGUGUUGUGAUUUAUUUGGCUUCUAUGCUGCAUCGUUGAUGCAUGGUUCAGUCGAGAAUGCCCAUUUUUUGUGUCUACUAGGGUCUAUUUUGCGGCCGGUUGGGUUAAUAGUUCCGUGUUAAUGCUCAAGAGCAAGUAUUCCAGGCAGUGUUCUGAAAAGUGUAUUAAGCGGCGGUUCAAACAAAAUCAUCAUCAAAGGCGGUAUAAAAUUAUCAAAUUAUCACUGUCAAAAGCGUUUCAAGUUUAUACCAAUAGUCUGUUUGGUAGUGUUAGUAAUUGUUUAUACCAAUAGUCUGUUUGGUAGUGUUAGUAAUUGUUGUGCUGUUAGAAAAAGUCUUAGUAAAAAAUGUGUUGUUCGGUUAUUUUUUUUUUUUUUGAUAUUUGCAUAUGUUGAGUGAUAAUAUAAUUUUUUUUAAUAAGGUUUGCUAGUUAAAUUUGUGACUGAUUCUAGCAAAAAUUGAAAAACAAUCUUUUUCUAAUAAAAGUAUGGAAGUGUUAUGAUAGGAGUGGAUGACUUUUGGUUUUUCCCAAAACUUUUGGCCUUUUGUUUACCCUCCAUAAUAUGUAUGACUUUUAACUUUUCAUAUGACUUGUAACUUACAUUUGAUGGCCUAUAUAAAGCCAUUUGUAUGAGUUUGUGAAAUACUUAAGAUGAACAAUGUUUGCUCCAUCUUUCUCUCUUGUCUAGCUCUCUCAAUUUCGUUUCUACAUAUAUUAUUAUAUAACACGUUAUCAGCACGAUUUGCUUUCACUUUGUUCUUAUGUUGCACGCCUCAUUUUUUUCUCUUUGUUCGGAUUUUGGUGUAAAUUAUUAUCAAGAGGAUCAUGGUUGUAAAAAAUCUAUAGUUAAUCGACGAGACUCAUAUUGCUACAAAGAUGAAGUCAUUCUUUCAAUGCAAGAGGACUCACUUUUUGAAGUAACGAUUCUUAAACUUAAAAGAAUCGUAAGAUCAUUCAACUGUAAGAUUUUAAGGUACGGCUCCCUUGACCAUUCUUUCUAAUUUAUAGUUUUAUCGAAAUGUAUAUAUUUGAGUUAAGCUAGUUUUGCAUUUCUCCAAAAUUCAUACUGAACUUGUUUUACAAAUGAAUCAAAUUUUCUUAGAAAUUUCAUAAUAGUCUCUUAAUUUUCCACGACCUUUAUUGUCUAGUAUGCUUGUGAAUUCACCCAUAUGCAUAUAUUGAUGAUAUGACUUUAGGAGACAAGUACUCUACACUUAUUUAUGCCUAGUUUGGUUGAUUAUAACAUGAUUGCGUGUCUAUUUAUUGAUUGAUGUGAUAUUAAAAUGUUCUUUUUAUAUAUGAUGAACAUCUCUCAUGUGCAUAUAUUAUAUUCCAAGUGAUCAUAUUUUAUAUGCUUUUAAUUAGUUACGUUGNUUCCUUUAUUUUCCAUCACACAUUUCUGAUAUAUUUAAUUUCUGAAGGAUGAAGGAUGUCAAUAGUAAAAUUUGAUAUAGUUAAACACUUGAUUACAUUCCAGAAGAAUGAUAUAUUCAAAUUAUGAGUUUAUCCGAAAUGAUAAAAUAUCCCUGAAGGAUGGAUCAAUAUAAUGAACAAUAUGAUGUUUAGGUUUAAUUGAAUAAAUAUAUAUAACAGUAUCCCGAAGAUACAAUGUUAUGAAAUUGCGUUGUUAAAAUCAUGAGCUGAUAUUGUGACUAGUUGUAUUUUAUUAAAAUUGAAUUAUGAAGAUAAAGAUUAUGUAUUGCAACAAAUGACACCCCUCCAUUCCUUAGAAUAAAUAAGACAAUAUUAGANUUGCAAAAUGUGAUGAUUCUUAACUUGUGAUUUCUUAAAUUAUUUUAUAUAUGACAAAUAGGAUAAUAUGAGGAAAAUCUAGAUUAUGCAUUUGUGAUCAAUAAAAAAAUUAUGAGUUAUUAGUGACUCUAUAAUCUAAAAAUUGUAAGUGUUUAGUAGAUAAUAAGUCAUUGUAUGUGACUUUUUAAUCCGAAGUCGCCUCCCUCAAGUCAUUAGUUACUUUAAUAUGAGUUUGAAUUAUACUAAACUCAAUUAUUAUAAUAAGCUGCAAACGGAUUAGUGGAAUAACUAAUAUUUGUAUGAGUGAGACAAAAGAUUUCAAUACCUCUUAUUUUAGAUAAAUAAUGUGCGACCUUGUAUCUAGUUAUUGUCAAUGAAUUCACGAUUAAUAUAUGCUACCAAAGUCCUUGCAUACUUUUGGUCUGAGUAAAAUGUUUUAGAUACGUACUUUUGGAUUUACGUAAAUUAUUUCUAACUCUUUUGGAUUUGAUAAUUAUUUGAAUUUUAGUAAACUGUUUUGGACCGUUUUGGAAUUGGAUGAAAUAUUUCGGAUCUAUGUUCUCGACUUUCUUGGAAUAUGACUAUUUGUCUAUAUUUCAUCAUCAAAUCUAUGAGGUCAUCUAAAAUUUUGAGAUAGUCAAAAUACAUGUAUUAUGAUUUUGAGGUGAUAACUAGUGCAUACACAUAUUAUUUCUUUUAUAUUAAGUUGUCUUGCUCACAUGUUUGAAUAUAUUAUGUAUUGUGCAUGCUCCUAAUAACUGAUAUUUUGAAAUCUCCCUAUGAUAUUUUUGGUAAAUGAUUGAAUUUCAAUAUCACUACGUGACUUUAAACUUGUAGUUUGUUUACAAUUAGUAUUUGUGAAUGAGAUUCUUAUCUACUUGAGCUAAAUGAUGAAGGUAUUAUCGUCAACACCUAUUUGACGUAGUUUUUAAUGGAUUGCUUGUAAAUAAUUGCAACUAGAAGUUGCACAUAACAACCAGAAGUUGUCUCUAUAUAAAAAAAAANUAUUGAUGAUAUGACUUUAGGAGACAAGUACUCUACACUUAUUUAUGCCUAGUUUGGUUGAUUAUAACAUGAUUGCGUGUCUAUUUAUUGAUUGAUGUGAUAUUAAAAUGUUCUUUUUAUAUAUGAUGAACAUCUCUCAUGUGCAUAUAUUAUAUUCCAAGUGAUCAUAUUUUAUAUGCUUUUAAUUAGUUACGUUGGAUGAUCAUAGAGUUCUAUUAAGUUACCCCCAAUUAUAUGUGAACUUUACAUAAAUCAUGGUGAUUGGAUCUAUAUAAUGAAUAAUAUGAUGUUUAGAUUUAAUUGAAUAAAUAUAUAACAGUAUCCCGAAGAUACAAUGUUAUGAAAUUGGGUUGUUAAAAUCAUGAGCUGAUAUUGUGACUAGUUGUAGUUUAUUAAAAUUGAAUUAUGGAUAUAAAGAUUAUGUAUUGCAACAAAUGACACCCCUCCAUUCCUUAGAAUAAAUAAGACAAUAUUAGAAAAUCAAAGACCAUGUCUGUAGCAAUGGUCUGAUAUUACAAACAGUUUUUGAUCGUAUUCUUACCUUGUGUGUUAAAAAAUAUUUCCCCUGAAUGAUAUAAAGAUGUCCGAUAUCAAUACCAAAUUCUAAUAUGAGUCAUUCAAAGGGGGAGUAUUAUAUAGAAUGUCUCAUUAUAUAUUCUUCUAAAUAUAAGGCUCCCGAAGAGCAUGUAUAAGGCUCCUGAAGAGCAUGUAUAAUGCACCUGAAGAGCAUGUAUAAACCUCCUGAAGAGCAUGUAUAUUUUAUCAUAAAUAUUUUACUAUAGAAGAGUAGGUAUAUUAUCGAUGUAACUAUACUCUCCCAAACAAUUGAAGUAUAUUUUAUAUAAAAUUAUUAAUAUUGAUUUUGAAGUAAACCAGAAGUUUACUGAUAACUUUAUAAUCGGGCAUGACCAAUCAAGCCAUCAGUUAAUGAAGAUGCGAAUAGUAAUUGAAAUUUAUAUAUGAACUUUUGUUGAAGAACCUGCAGAUUCUUCUCAGUGAUACAUAUGUUAUUUGCUUGUAAGGCCUAAUUAAUCACCAGUAAAGUAAUAAUUGUGAUUUAUCAUCUUUGAAAAUGUAUUAAUGAAGACAUGACAUGAGAUAAAAAUCUCUCACUAUAGUAUAAUGAGAUAUUUUAUGAAAAAUAUGAUUAUAUAUCAAGUUAUUAUAACCUCGCCACAUUAAGUAUGCGAGAUUCAUUAUUUAGAGUAUGUGCUUAUAUAAUGCUGGUGAAUCUCAAAAUGAGUAUUAUCUUAUCCAUGAAAAUUGUUGAGUAUUUUGUAUCAUUUAUUUAUUUGAUUCGCAUCAUAUACAAAUUUUCAUAAUUUGUCCCGUUAUAAACAAAUUAUUUGGUCAUCAUAAUUUCUCCACCACGAUAAUAAGAUCGAUUCCACAAUUGAAUAUAUAUUACAUAUGAGUGCAUUUAUUUAUGACUUGAUUUAACAAGUUUGUUAUCCUGAAAUCAGGGGGAGAAAAUAAAUAGCUGGUGAAUAUUUUAAGAAUGAAUUAUCAUUGCCUCAUCUUGAUCCUCAAAAUGACAAAUAUGAACCAGAAGUUCAUAAGAUGAUUCAUUCAUAUAUCUGAUGACUAGAAAUAGUGAUUAUGUCACGAACACCGGCAUAUGCUCCAUUGAUAUUAAUAUUACAGAAGGACAACUUCAAGAUACUACUAUGUCUAAAGAACGCCUGAAGCGUGAUAGGCAAGUGGGUUCCAUAUCUUAUAAAAAAAAAUGAUUAUAAAUAUUUGAAAAGGAGCAACGAUUGAUGAUGGCUGGAUUGAGAAAUCAAUAACUCUUGAAAUAUCUCCAGAAGAGAUUAUAGACAUGGCAAGUUGGAGAACAAGUAAAAGUGUCCAAGAUUAUGACUAGAUUGAAAAGUCAAUAACUCUUGAAAGGUCUCCGGAAGAGAUUAUAGACAUGGCAAAUCAGAGAUAUAUAAAAGUAGUGAAAAUAUCGACAUCUUGCUAUAUUAUGUCAUAUCCAGAAUAAAAUGGAACCACAAAUCGGAUCGACGUCGAUGUUAUUUAUUGAACUUGGGGUUAUGAGUAAUAAUGAGGAUCAUGAGCAGAACCCGUUGGAAAAUAUUAACAAAUUUGACCAAAAAAAAUAAAAUAAAGGACAUAAUUGAGGCAAUUUUAAAGAAAUUUAUUUGGACCGGUAAUCCUUCCACACCUGAAGUUGUGAAAGUAGUGCGCCCUAUGAAUUAUUAUCUCUUAAAAAAUAGAGAAAUUUUUGAAACUGCAGUUCACACACUUAAAGGUGUCAAGUCAGUGGGAUAUGAAUGAUUAUUUGUGUGAAACAAAAUGAAGUUUCAGAAUUUAUAAAUGUAAAACUCAGAUUAUCGUACAAUGACCUUGUAUUGGUUAUGAAGAGAAAUGUAUCUUGUGGUGGAUAUGAUUAUUUGAUUGCUAAAUAAUCUCAGAAUAUGUGUAUGAGUUAAUCUAAGUUCUAUAUAUGACCCACUUGACAGUGAUUAUCCCAGAAGGAUCUUAACUGCCAGAAGCAGUAUAACAAAUUCUCGAGAACAUCACUCUCCUCAAAUUAAAAGGGGAUUUUUGGACCAGUAGUCCGAUAUAAAAUUAUUUCACAAAGUAAAUGUUAUCAUUAUAUAUCGAAUUAUAGGUGACAACUCAUAAAGUCUCUGGCCAGAGCAGAUGGAUACUAGAAUGUGUUUCUAGUUGACAUUAAAAUGAAUUGCACCUUAUAACCAAAAUACGUAUAUGUUAUCUUUUGUGAUGAAACUUUUGGUGAAUAUAUUGAAAUGAGAAUAUUCUUCUAAAUGGAUGAUAUAUUGCUAUAUGAAAAUCCUGGAAGGAUUAUAAAUACAUGAUAGUACACUGACCUUUAUGAAUAGUUGAUAUGAAGAAAGUUUCGGUCCUGAAGUACCGUACUUGACUAGAGUAAAACAUGUUUUAUUAAUUAUACAUGUCUUAAAUUAAGCAUAUCCUAUUUACACAUGUGUGAAUUCUCAGGUUACAUAAGUAUAAUUUUAUUCGAUCUGCACUAACCUAUCUCAUAAGGAUUUUUAGUUAAUAUUGCAGGAGCAAAAUGCUUAUUUCGAUUUCGAUAACGAGGGAUCUGCAAAUUGAAUAUUUAUAUAGAGUACAUUGGAGAUUUUCUUUUGUUGUGAAAUAUAUUAUUGCAGGCUGUAUCAUGUGCAAGGAAGGGUACAUUAAAGAUUUGUUCAUAUGGCACUUCUCACCACUACUUUCAAGAAAUCAGUACACAAGAUCGGGAUGCGCAUACUUCAAAAUAUUUGCUAAUUUCAUAAUCAUAUCUUGAUGAGGGGGAGACAUAAAUGAAAUAUUGUACAACUCAUGUACUCUUUUUCCUUCACUAGGGUUUUUCCCACUGGGUUUUUCCUAGUAAGGUUUUAACGAGGCAUGAUGUUGAUAUAAGUCAUCCAAGGGGGAGUGUUAUGAUAGGAGUGGAUGACUUUUGGUUUUUCCCAAAACUUUUGGCCUUUUGUUUACCCUCCAUAAUAUGUAUGACUUUUAACUUUUCAUAUGACUUGUAACUUACAUUUGAUGGCCUAUAUAAAGCCAUUUGUAUGAGUUUGUGAAAUACUUAAGAUGAACAAUGUUUGCUCCAUCUUUCUCUCUUGUCUAGCUCUCUCAAUUUCGUUUCUACAUAUAUUAUUAUAUAACAGGAAGGACUUAUUUUUCCAAAACACAGUUUUUGGUUAAAUUAUUGUUGAAGUUGUCAUCCAAUAUAAUGUCAUCAUUUUUUUAGAAAUUAAAUUAUUUUUUGCAUAUUUAGGAAGCCUCGAUAAAACAUUGUUGGAGAUGUCAUCAUCAUCCUGGAUUUUAAUAGUGUAGGGAGAUUGGGGGCAUGUAUGUUGAUUUCAUAUAACCACGUGAACAUGAUCGGUGGGUUGGAAGGUUUGGUCUCAUAGAAAUGAGUUGGUCAAGAUGUGUGGAAGCUUUAGUUUUAGAAGAGUUGUGGGUUGAUUGGUCGGGUGUGAUGAAAGGUUUAGUAUCGGAGUAGUGAGUUGGCCUGCUCAGCAGCAUUUACGAUUUUCAAACAAAUGCAGAUGAAGAAGACUACACCCACUUUCUGUACAUGUAAGAAUGAAAUAAUGAUGGUCAAGGAAGUAUUGCUGACUGGGGUGAGUAACUCUAGUUCUUCUGUUCAUAGAAACCACCUCUUGUUCCGGUAAUGUUUGUAAUCAACUUUUUAGUAUAUAGUAAAAUUCUUGAUUAAUUUGAUAUGAGAUAAGUUGAUGGUCUUGAACUUGUAUGUCUUAACAAUUUGGGAGAGUUCUGGUUCUUAAACAUAAUGGACAUUUUAAAAUAUUCCGACAUGAUUCAUUCGUAUGAUAAAAAUUAUUCAAGAUUAUUCUCCUAUAAGAACAAUUUGGGAAAGAAAAAAGUUUAAACGUCUUAAUUUGGGAAGUCUAAUAGUUGUUUAAUUAUAUGAGUAUCAUGAGAGCAAUAUGAAGCCUAUCGAUUUAAACAUAUGAUGAUGAUGAUCUAUGCUAUAAUUUUGGAAAUAUGUUAUAAAAAUUCACUUUAUUGAAGUCCUAUUUAUAUCCUAAAUUUUUAGAAUCCACUUUUCAUUACUCAUAAAUAUGUAGCAGCUAACUCAUUCCUUUAAUGAUUAAAUAUUCACUUCUCACAUUUGCACACUUUUAUCCAUUUUUUUUUACAUUAUGUUAUUGCUAAUAAAUUUUAGAUAUAGUACUAAAAUAAUAAGAAGAAACACAAAUAAAAAUUAUUGUUGGAGUUCCCUUUCAAAAUGAUGUCUUUUCAAAAUGAUGUCUGAAGAUGCUGUCAGGGUCCUAAAUUCAAAUUGGGAGAUGAGGGGGCAUGCGUGUCUGUAACUUCUUUGUUUGGUAAAGUCUUUUAAGUUUCAGAAAAGUAGUUUUAGAUCUAUCAUCUUGUAUUAUCAUCAAUAAGAUUUGCUCACUUUAAACUAUUUUCAAUUUUUUUAUUUUUCUUCUUACAUAAAAUUUGUAAAUAUUAUCCGUUUAUGAUGAUGGAUUUCUACUUUUCAAUCCCAAUAAUAAUAUAUUUGUAAGAACUUAAUUGAACAAUACAUUGAAAAUUACAAAAUUACAUAACUACAUAAAUUUCACUAUUAAUAUUAUUAUUUGCAUAUAACAAAUCAUAACACAUAUUAUCAUAUUUCACCCUCUAUGUAGGACAUAGUAGUCCUACAAGUAUACAAGUUAACACUAUCAUUAGUUGUUCUCAGGGAAUAGGAUAGGUUGUUGCAUCCGAUUAUGAGCCAUUUGCUGAAAAUUAGGAAGAGCAUGAUUUUGAGUCACCGUUGGUUGGGGACUUAAGCUAUUUAAUACUUGAUGUUGAAUAGCAUGGGGAAUAUAAUUUUGAGGCACAAUUGAUUGUGGACUCGUUAUACUUGACUGAUUAUAAUUCAGAGGAACAAAAUUCUGAAGAAUGUUUGGAUGAUGAUUUAUGUUAUUAAGCACUGGAUGUUCAAUAGUGUGGUGAACAUGAUUUUGCGCCAUGCUUGAUUGGGGACUUAAGAUAUUUGGUUGAAUGUCGGUUAAGGAACUAAAGUCCUCGACAAACCGGAUAUCAUUGAUACUAUGCUUGCGUUUGUCAAGGGGUGUGGGAUUAUCAAUGCGCUUGUAGAACUUUUGUGCAUGACUAGUAAUUUGAGCCGGGGUUUUGGUUUGCACAUAAAACUUUGACAUCUCUUUCCACUUCCCUUUGCCUAAUUUUUGCAGCCCUAAUAAGAACAACCUGUACAAAUAUUAGCCAAAAUAAUUAGAAUAAAUAUAAUUAUUAAAUCAAUGUUUCUUAACAAAAAAUGCACGAAAAUAGUGCUACAUACUUAUGUUCUUUUUGAGUCCAUUGAAUUGGCCUUGCCCUCGACCUUUUUGUCAUCUUCUUUUUCUCUGACGGACCACCACCAUCCUCAUUUGCAAGAUCUUUAGAGCCUUUAUUUGACGACUCAAGCACUUCUACAUUUCCCUGUAAAUCAUCAAUUAACUUGUUAUCUUCAAAUGUCCAUUCAUCGCCAAACUGAUUUUCUCGUAACUCCUCCAAUAACUUGUCAACUUCACAAGUCCAUAUGUUAUCACUAUGGUUUUCAUCAUGAUGGCCAUUCAUUUCUUACGGCUUGAAGUUCGACAAAAAAUAUUUAGAUAUUGAAAAGAGUUUUUAAGAAAUUCAGAUCUAUAGCUGAGUAUGAAAAAUGAGUCAAUAUGUGACUGAUAUUUAUAUUUGGCACAUGACCGGUGACUGGUGAGUAAUAACUGCGUAUCCUAAUGAAUAUCUGGUGGAUACGAUGAUAAUCUCAAAGAUAUAUAAGAGAUUUCACUUGAUCUGUAAAUAGAUGUUAUGUUCGUUGACUUGGAUAUUUACUCAUUUUAAAAUUUGAUCCUUAGAGUGGCAGUUAUUUACGUGUCGAUCACCAAUGUCGUUUUACUUUAACGUAUUAAAAUAAAUGGGAAGUCAUUCAAAAUUUUGUAUGGAAUGAAAAAAAAAAAUAUUUGCAAUCAAUAUACAGAUAAAUAAGAAAUUUAGAAAUAUGUUUUUUCCCCCGCACAUUUAGCAAUAUGUUUUAAGAAGGAAAUUGUGACCUAACAUAAUAAACAUAUAUGUGUAAUAAUAUUUUAAUGUGUUACUAAUGAUUAUUUUCAAUCAAUAUCGAAGAUAAUCAAAUUUAUUUAAUAUAACAGGCACUUAUUAUUUUGUGUUUUUUCGUGAUUACAAUAUACUUUCUAUUAGAUCAAAUAUUUACGGUCAAACUAUAAUUUUCAAUUUAGAUUUUUUUAUAUUUUAUUUUUUGGUGAUAAGAUUUUUAUCAUCUAUUUUUUCACAACAUUUCUUCAUACCGGAUAAGAUUAGAUGAUAAAUUUUUCAAAGGAAAAAGGUCUCAUCCUUCAAAUAUAUUAUAUUUUCUGUUGGAUACAUAAAAUUAACUUUAUUACUACUUCUAAAAGGUUAUUAAACGUAUUUGAUGUUGUAAUUAAUAUUAUAUAAAACAUAAGAAAAUUAUUAACUUGCUGCAUAGUAGUCUUGAGACAUAAAUUGUUAAUCAAAUGCUCAUAAAUAUAAUAUUAGUGUAUAACUAUUUAAUGAUAUAAUUAUAACUAUGUAAUUUACUUGGAUGUUAUAAAAAUAUCUUUUGUAUUCUAAUUGAAAAUUAUUUAUUACAUCAUUUUAUGUUAUUUUAUGUUUUUAUACUUUUCGAAGUUGAACCGAAGUUUGGUACUGCUUAUUAAUCAAAAAUUUAUUUUGUUUUAAAAUCGAUAUUGAUCAAUAAGAAUAUACGGAAAGUAGAAUCGAGACAAACCCCACCUACCGAUAUUGUUAAGUUGACAAAUAGAUAACAAUACUAAAUGUAAUUAGCUAAAUUGUUCACUCAUAGUUUAACACAUAUAAUUUAAAGUUUUUAAUUUUGAAAAUAAAAUCAAAAAUAUUUCAAGUGAUCCAAAUUGCACAUCUCAAAAAGCAUCAAAUUCGCAACUGACUUUAUCACACUGAAGCCAUUGUUAGACUAGUGUUCAAAAUCCUAAUCGUAUAAACUAAGAUGAGAGGAAUGACACCUUAGCUAUACCGGCUAUAAUCUAAAAGUGUAUGAACAAUCUUUAAUCACUUUCAUCGGCACAAAUUUGACGCGAGAAUUCUAUAUUCCAAAACAUCAAUAAAAUCAUUUUCAAUAAAUAGAACAUUGAAUAAAUCCAAAUGUAAUUGAACCAAAACAUAACGAAAUAGAGAUAAAACAAACACGCUCAUACACUCUAAAUAGAAAAAUACACGAACACUUGAAUAAUUUGAUUUUAUUGAAAAAAACCAUCAAAAAUGAAAGAAACAAGGAAAUUGAGUUCCAUCGGAAAAAACCCGGUGAAAUUCCAUCAACUAAUUUAAAAAAGGACAAAAAUAGAGAAUGAGAUUCGGCUUUUCAAACUCCGAGAAAAGCAAUUUUCACCGUUAUAAAUUUUGUUUGUGUAAACAUAAUUUUAUAAAUUCUUAAAAGCUCUCGGAAAUUGGACAAAACAAUGAGGCCGUUUGGAUAAAUUUAAAAUAAAUGUUUUUUGCUUAAAGUUAAAAAAAAUGAAGUAGAAAUCAGAAGUAAGUUAAAACUUAUAAGUGAUUUAAGGGUUUGGGAAAGAAAUAAAAAUCAUGAAAUAAAAGUAUUUUUAACUUCCAUAACUGUUUUUUACUUUUUACACAAAUGAUACCACCAAGUGUAGUGUUCGCCGAACACCGCAGACGUCUUUUUUCUGUAUACAAUUAUACGAAUAUCGAAUAUACAUAACGGCAAACAGUAUGAAAAGUUUCCAUUGAAAACCCUACCGUUAUACUAUUCUUAAACACUUCUGCAGCGCUGCAAUACCCAAUUGCUGAAUCAAUCAGUUCAGCUUCUUCAAUCCUAAGCAAAAGCUCAAAACUCACAGAAAAAUGACUAGUGGUACCGGAAAAGUCGUAAAUUUGGGGGGCAAGGGAUCUUCUCUCUCCUCAGCCUCUGUUUUUCAAGUAUCCACUUCUCUCUCUAGACUUUCAAUUGAUUCUUCCACAAAAAUCUCAUCUUCCUCCAAAACCCCACUUCCCAAACAACCCCUUAAUCCCAAUUCUCAGUUCUCUCUCCCUGAUUACUUAACCCCACUUGAAUUCAGAGCUUCUUUACUUGUUUUCUUGAAGAAACUCAUCUCCAUUUCUUUGCCCAAUUCAUCUGUUGCGGCUGAGAAGCUUCUGGGUGUUCUUAAUUCACCUGGGUCGUGUUCAAUUACUGCUGAGGAUUGUGAGUUCUUGAACCCCUUUGCGGGGUUUUGUGAUGUUAAUGCUUGUGUGUUGUAUGGUGUUUGUGCUCUUUUGGAUCACAGAUGGGCUGCAUUGUUGGGGGUUGUUGAUGCGGUUGCUGCUUUGUCGAUUGAGGCGCUGGGAGGUGACAUUGUUUCGUCUAAUAUUAAUUUGUUGAUUGAUUCAGGGGAUGGUUUAUCGGAUAAAGAUGAGGUUGGGGUUGCUAGUGAUCUUAAGGUAUUUCUAAAUGGUUCUAAAUUGGUAGGGAAGAAUCAGGUUAAGGGCUAUAGUGUGCAAGAUUUGGAUGUUAUUCCUGAGACUCAUGGACUUUUUAGAUUGAUUUCUAGAACUUUACAUGCGAAAUCGCGGGUGUUUUUGAAUUCAUUAACAGCUGGGAGUGGAAUCGUGGUGCUUUUAGCAUCUUUUGCUGAUGGGAUUUUGAAGUUGGGGGAGUCUAGUUGGGGUAGAAGUAGCCUUGUUGUUGGUUCUUUGGGGAACAAUGAGGCUCUGUCGUUUAUUACUCGUUUUGUUGAAAUGUUUAAAGCAGAAUGCCCUGGGAUUGAUAGAUUGAAGGAGGUAUACAGUUCUGCUUUAGCUGCUAAAAGUGGUGGUGACAACCUAAAGUUUGUUCAUGACAUUUUUAUUUUGUCUGACCUUGUUGGGACAAUUUUUUCUUGGGAAGCUACAGCUGCAUUUAUCUCACUUACCCUUAUCAGCGGUGCCGAUAUAUUUAAUGCAAAAGGUAAUGUGGCGGUAGUGGAGGCAACAAACAAUGUAGGAGCUGAUAAUAGUAAAGCUAAUGAGAAGAAGCAACAGAAGGAAAAGAAAAAAAACAAGGUUGCUUUUGGUAAAGGAACUACUGCAUUUAUGCAGUAUCUUCAGGAUAGGCUGCAGCUUACGGCUUCUGGAGAUAUAGAGACAUGGGUGCAGCAGUUCCUCUCAAUUUUGGAUCUGAAGGACCCUGGCUAUAUUAGCUUACUUGAGAAAAUUAAAGAUAUUGUUGACAGCAAUGAUAGCAGAAGGCUUCCCAAGCUUCCAAAGGUAUAUGCUCUAACAGGUUAAAGAACACAUGCCAGAAGCUUGCUUUAUUACGCUAUGAUGUUAUGACGAUUUCUUCAUAUAUUUCUAUCAUACCAAUGAACUAGUGCUAAAUUGUUUACACUGAGUGACAAUAUCAUCAUUAUCGGUAUUGAGAUUCUCUAGAUGCAGUCCAUCAGUUAUUGAGACUCUCUAGAUGCAGUGUAUAAAUUGUAGAUAUCGCAGAAAUAAGUAGAUCUUUAGUAAAUUGGAGGCCUUCAAAUUAGAUCAAGGUAAUCUUUAUGUUACAUUGUUGUUCCUGAGUUCCUCUAUUAUAGAAUGUUCAGAUGGCCUUUGGAAAUUGUAAGAAACUCAACUACCAGAUAUAAUUAAAUGCUUAAAACUAGAUUCAUGGUUUUUCGUGUGGGGUAAAUGAGCCGUGUUUUUACUUUGAUGAGCUCAUGAGCCCCUAGAAAAUCAAGGUAUGUUCCACGAGCUACAGCUGCUACUUGUACACUAGUUGUGGCGCACUCUAGUCUAUCUUUACACACGUUUUUUUAUUGAUGUGCAACUGGUUAACAAGAUACUCAUUGCAAUGCCUCAGAAUACCAAACAUAAUGUGAAGUGGUUUCUCAUAUGGCAGCUAUCUUUAGUGACCAAGACUCUCUUCCUUAAACAACUAUGGAUUAUCGAUUUUAUAAAUUUCUUCAUUUGCAGUAUUAUUUUACUUGUAUUGGUUGUAUUUCUUCAGAAAUUUGCGCUACAGUUAUUCUUUGACACUAUUGUUAAAACCUUGUAAUUUUUUAUUUUUCUUUGUUACUAUCAGGGUACUCGUGAUUUUGCCAAGGAACAGAUGACUGUGAGAGAGAAAGCAUUUUCGAUAAUAAGCAAGGUUUUCAAGAAGCAUGGUGCAACAGCCCUCGAUACACCUGUCUUUGAAAUGAGGGAGACUCUAAUGGGUAAAUAUGGAGAGGAUUCAAAAUUGAUUUAUGAUCUUGCUGAUCAGGUACAUCAGUUGGAUUUAUUUUUUGAAUCUUUCUAGCUGGGCGGUGCUAUGCUGUGGGGUUUCCUGUAUGGAUUUGCAUAUCAGAUAUUAGAUUCUCUUCUUGUGUGAAUCGUGUGCAUUAUAUAUAAUGUGCUGCUUGUAAUUGUGUGAAGAUAAUAGGAAAUCCAGGAACAAAAUAGGAAGUGCUUAUUGCUUAUAAGCGAGAAGUUAUUUUAAGUGAAAAGCAACUUUUAUUUUAUGUGUUGGGAUAAAUUUUUUGGUAUUUACUGUAUAACUUAUCCGGUAUAAUUAUUAUUAAUAUUAUAAUAAAAUAUUAUAAUUUUUUUUUGAAGUGAUCCUUUACAUUUUUGUGAAAUCAAAUUUCAAAAAUAAAAAUAAGUCAUUAAAAAAAGUUAGGAUUUUCAACUUCUCAUAUUCUGGCUUAUAAGUGGGAAUUUGACUUUUAAGUUCUUUACACAAGCGGUACAAAUAAGCUGCUUCUGACUUAGCCAGCUGGGCUUUUAAGCCUAGCCAAACACCCUCUAUAUAAUAAUUUGCACUUCAUCGUCCCUUGUUAAAGUUUUUACUUUCUUUGUGUCAGGAAAUAUGAUAAUUUUUGUUGUUAUUAUAUGGAUCUGAAUCGCACCCAAGUCACAACUCACAGACACUUUUUUUAAUCAAAAAUAGCCUGAACGUUAGGAUGAAAUCUUUUGUGUUGAAAGCAAUAUCAGCUUGGCUGAGUUAGUCCCAGUACUAAUAUUUGUCUUGAGAAGAUAGAAAGAAUACACUCUUAGUUGUGUUCAAGUCGGAUGUCAUGUAUAUUUUAUUUCUUAAAAAUUGAGAAGUCUUUAGGAGCCAUUCUGAACAGAACAUUUCCAAAGUAAGUUCAAGAUUGCAGAAAAUGUUUACUUUAAUUAAAUAUGAUAGUCCUGGCAUGUAGUCCGAAUAGAACAUAAUGUGCGUGGAAGACACUAUCUGUUAUUCUGUCAGUUACUUACAUUGAAACUUGUAUACUUGUUUCAGGGUGGAGAGCUUUGUUCCCUUCGCUAUGACUUGACGGUCCCCUUUGCCAGAUAUGUUGCUAUGAACGGACUUACAUCAUUUAAAAGGUACCAAAUAGCAAAAGUCUACAGAAGGGACAAUCCUUCCAAGGGGAGAUACCGUGAAUUCUAUCAAUGUGAUUUUGAUAUUGCUGGUAAAUUUGAAAAGAUGGGACCAGAUUUUGAGGUCAUAAAGAUUUUGACUGAACUACUGGAUGAGCUAAAGAUUGGGGAUUAUGAGGUAAUUAGCUCAUAGUUUCAGUGAAGUUGGCUAGUUUUAUCUCCCUUUUUGUUUUUGUACCAGUAUGCUCUCCAUCUCUCUGAUUAUAUGGUAAUCCUUGUACAAGAAGCAAGGUGCAUCAAAUUUUAAUUUCAAAAUUUUGUGCUAGUUUAGUGGUGUAAGAUCUUUUGUUCAUCUGAAGUGAGUAUUUGCCUUAAUAGAGAAGUGGCCAUCUGUAGACCCUUGUAAAUUAGAAAGGGGUAACAUUGGUGCAGUUGUGGGCUAAACUGUUGGUUAUAGAGAUACUUUAUGCUUGUAACCUAAACAGUAUCUAUGGAAGAGUAUUUUGUAGCUGUUUUUCUGUUAGUUCUGAAUUUUUGAACUGCAAGUUGGUUGCAAAAAAAUCUUGAUCUUAGUUUGACAAAAAUAUAUAAUACUUAUUAGAGAACUAAAGAAGUAAAGACAAUUAAAAUGUCUUGAUGCAUUCCAAAUGGCUAAUAGCCAUAUGUAUGAAAUAGUUAGAAUGACCAUUUGAUCCCCAUGUAGGGUAAACGCAAAUUAGGAUUGAUAUUUUUUUCAUGCGUUUAAUUACUACCUAUAUGUUUACUGUUGCCACAGGUGAAAUUGAAUCAUCGGAAAUUACUGGAUGGAAUGCUAUAUAUAUGUGGAGUACCUCCUGAGAAAUUUAGAACCAUUUGUUCAAGCAUUGACAAGUUAGACAAGCAACCGUUUGAGCAAAUAAGGAAGGAAAUGGUAAGGAACUUAAACUGUGUGUGCAAACUUGUUAAACAGUGGUCUCUGCAGUUGAGGGAAUUAAAUUUGUUAUAACCGUCUACCUAUUUCUAGGUUGAGGAGAAGGGCUUAAGUACUGAAACCGCGGAUAGGAUUGGUACUUUUGUGAAGAAUAGGGGACACCCUCUGGAACUAUUAUCUGAGCUGAAACAGGAGGGCAGCGAGUUCGUAAAGAAUAAAGAAGCAUCAGAAGCACUGGAUGAGCUAGAGAUCUUAUUUGAAGCUUUAGAAAAGUCAAAAUGUAUUGAUAAAGUGGUCUUUGAUCUCAGUCUGGCCAGAGGUCUUGACUAUUAUACAGGAGUCAUAUAUGAAGCUGUGUUUAAAGGAGCUACACAGGUAGGCCUACCUUCAACUACAGAAUUUCUAUUUUUAUAUUCUUUUGGCCUUGACCAGAAGACAAUAUGUAGAAAGGGCAAUAAAUCACUUGCAUGUCUUUACAAAUUUUUUUUGAUUCUUUUCUUCUUUCUUUGUAGUGAGAGUUCCUUGGCCCUUUUAAAAAAAUCUAUUUACCAUGGUGGUCGGAUAUUAUCUGGAAUUUACUAGCUAUACAGCCCUUAAUACCCAAUUGAGUUUAGAAAAUCACAUGUUACUGCCUACCAUAAGUUAACAAUAUAGCUUCCUUCAUUCAUUAACUCGAUUCCACCAUCAUGUAUAGAUUUAGAUGUGAUGAUCUCAUAUUGGAAUAAGUUGGAUGGGUUUUUUGAGGGCUGGACAUAUACCUCUGUAAGGAGCAAAAUGAUCACCUAGUUUCUUAUAUAAUUAGCAUAACCAAAGAACCGCAUCUGCUGAGAUCCUCUGUGAUAAUUUUGUAAGGUCCUAUUAAGCAAUAACGAAUGCAACCCUGAAAUAUCAAUCAGCCCUACCAUUUCCUGUUAUUUUAUCGCGCACGACUCUGCAGAUUGAUUGUUGCAACGGUAUUGAUGUUAUGUAACUUCCUUUUUCUUUAGGUCGGUUCAAUUGCAGCUGGAGGACGUUAUGACAAACUAAUUGAAAUGUUUGGUACAAAGGAGGUUCCAGCUAUUGGUGUCAGUCUAGGCAUAGAACGAGUAUUUACUAUAAUGGAACAGAUCCAGAAAGAACAGAACCAGGUACUCUAGCUACAAUAUGUUUGAGAUGCUGUUUUGUUAGUCUUGUAGUUUAUGAUUCAAGGUAGCAUUUAGGUUGUUGAUAAGAAUUUGGCGUAAUGCAGUAAGAUAAUACUAUUAAACUGUAGUUGAAAGAAUGAGCUACAUGAAAGAAGAUAUCUGGUUGAAAUUCUGUACUAAUUCUGCUCGGUGGUUUUUUUUUCUACAAAGUGCAUUUUCUUUUGGUUUAUGUUUAUUUUUUCAUUAAAAAAUGAAAUAGUUAUUAUUUAUCAAAGCAGGAUUGACAUAUCUCUAUGUGUUUGUUACAUAUGUGCAAGAGGAAUGCAUAAUCAAUAGAUUGAUCAUUCUCAAAUAUAGGAGCAUCCUAAAUUAAAUUUGUUCUCUGUACACAGACUGUACGAGCUACAGAAACACAGGUCUUGGUGAGUAUUCUGGGGGAUAAUCUGUCACUAGCUGCUGAGCUAGCUAGUGAAUGUUGGGCUGCUGGAUUGAAUACAGAGUACCUGGUAAACAAGAGAGUGACGAAGCACUUCGAUCGUGCUAAAGAUUCGAAGAUCCCUUGGAUGGUAAUUGUUGGUGAUCCCAAAGUCAGCGAAGGAAUGGUGAAAUUAAAGAAUCUGGAGGCUAAUAAAGAGGAGGAAAUUCCUAGAAGUCAAAUUGUAGAGGAGCUGAGUAAACAUUUGAGCAACACAUCAUCCUGAAGAAAGUAAAUCAUUUUUCACGUGUAAAACCACACAACUACAUGUUAUGAAGAUGUCAUCUUUUAGUUAGAAAUGAAAUGUUUUACAUGGCACUGCUGAAUAGAGUAUGUUCUAAAGAUUAAUUUGUGUUUCGGGGUGUCAUUGCAGAAUGAACAACUGUUGGACCUUUUAAAUCAAUGGUUUUUGUUAUUUUAUUUAUUUUUGAUAUUUAUAUAGGUAUUGGAAUAUCUUUUGAGCCGGAAUUGUUAUCAGAUUAGCUAUUGUCUCCGGAUUCCUGAAAAAUGACCUCUGUUUUACCUCUUUCUAAGGAGGAUAUAAUCUUUCUCAAGUUGUAUUUUUUUUUUUUUACAGAUUUCCAUUAUUUUGUAUACAUGACAGUCAAAUGAUGAAAAUAAUCUUAUAAUAGUAAUCGAAAUUUCCCGGAAAAUACAGUUUUUGGUUUAAUGUUUGGCCAAUGCAAACACGAAUUUGUAAUAUGAAACAAACAACACAAAUUUUUUUGCGUUUGGUUGGGGAGAAUGAAAUGUAAUGAGAAAAAAUACUUGAAAUUUGAAACUAAUAGAGAUAUGAUGAAAGUUUUGGAAAAAAUUUGAAGGAGCGCAAAAUUAGUAUGAUGAGAUUUGUGAUGAAAUUGAGAAUAGAAUUUCAUCUUAAAUUGAAUGUGUGAUCUAGCACGGAAAGAAAUGACCGAAAGAAAGAAAUUUUUUUCAAUUAGAGGAUUGAAACCAAAUAUUGGUGAGCCAAGUAGUCCCGUAGAAAAGACACGCGUAAGCCGCCAAGCGGGUUUGAAGUGGCGUGUAAUUAGUCUCAACGACGCCGUUAUCGUCCAACUGCUUUCAAAUCAAGUCUCUUCUGCGCUCUGCUGACUCUCAUUCAGAUUCAUCUCCGCAAUUACACACACACACAUCUGUAAGUAUGUUACUUUUACUCUUAUUACUCUAUCAUCAACUUUAAUUGCUUCAUUUUUUAUUUUUUUUGUUAAUCAACUCUUUAAGUUAUUUUUUAAUCUCUCCCUGUAUAGAUAGCACUUUACUCAUCACCUGCUUAAUUAGCUUCAUGAUCUUGGAAUGCCACAUGUUUUUGGCCUUUUCGUGUUUUAAUUCUAUUAAACUUUGCUAAAUUUAAACUUUCUAAUUAAUUAGUUGUUUAUGUUUGUUCACUGAAUGCUUAAAAUCACAACCUCUUUAAAAAAAAACAAGGGCAAUGCUGCGUAUAUAGGAACCUUUCCGAGUAUGUGUCCUUAAAAAUUACAUUUGUGCUAACCUAAUACGAUAUUACUCUAUUUUAAUCUAAGCGUUUGAAGUAUAAUGGUAUUUGCGUAGUUGCUGUGUUGUAUGUUGAAAAAGUUGCUUGUAUUGUCAGAAUGGCCGCUGCUUUCCACCAAGCUAUAUGUGGCAAUCAGUUGCACGGAUACAAUGACAGUUUGUCUUCUUGUGAUGAAUUAAGAAACUUCGCAAUGAUGCCUCGUUUUUCUUGUUUUGGUACAAGUAAGAUACCGUUGAACAAAGCAAAGUGCAUGUAUAACCAUUCAAAAGUGUUUGUAGUACGCGCAUCAGUUUCAGAUUCUAUAGUAUCCUCUCUGGACAGUAGCGAUCACGAUUCUUGGAAAAUGACAGGUAAAUAGAAUCUCGACUAUCGAUUCAUAUGUGAAUGGUAUGCUAAGGCUAAAUGACUGGAUUUGAUUUCUGAACUGUUAGAUGAAUCUGCAUUGAUAUUACUUAGACAUGGGGAAUCAAUGUGGAAUGAGAAGAAUCUGUUUACCGGUUGUGUUGAUGUACCAUUGACUAAUAAAGGCGUAGAAGAAGCAAUUGAAGCUGGUAAGAGAAUUAGAAACAUACCUAUCGACCUCAUAUACACAUCAGCUUUGGUCCGGUCGCAGAUGACCGCUAUGCUUGCCCUCACCCAACAUUGCUGUGAGAAGGUAUAUAUGCAUACUUACCUAAGCCUGGAUUGUAUAUGGUUUUUAAAAAAUAGCUUUGGGUAAUAUGUGGCUCAUUUAUUGGGGUUGAUUGUGUUUCAUGGCCUUUUGUAAUCAUCGCGUGUCACUCUUUAGUUUAGUGCUCCCGUAUUUUCACAGAGUACAUGUCUUAACUCUAGAAACCAAUUUGAUAUUGUGUUUCAUGACCUUUCAUAAUCAUCUUAUGUCACUCUUUAAUUUAGAGGUUCCCAUUUAUUCACCGGGUGUAUGUCUUAACUCAAACAACCAAUCUGAUUUCUACUUAUUUUAAGUGAUUAGAUUUCACUAGAAUUUAGAAAGAGACUUGAUAUGAACUUAACAUGUCAAUAUGAUGGAAAUGGAUCUUUAUUGAUUCAAUCUUUGAUAUUAGAGAAGCCGAGAAGGUAAGAAUAAUCAUUCUCCUACAAACGAAAAUGUCUUUAAAGCAGGGAUGGAGCUAGCAUUUCUCGAUGAUGGGGGGUGAAUUUUUUCACAACUAUUAUAUUAAAUGUUUAGAUAUUUAAUUCAUAAUUUAUUAAUCCAUAAAAUCCAUAAACUAUUAAGUUAAUAAAAUCUGGUUAUUCACAUAUUUUGAGGGGGCGUAUUCGUCACGCCAUCCCCUGUCGACGUCCCUGCUAUAAAGUGCAUUAUGUGAAAUCUUCUAAUUUUCCACUUUAUAUGGUUAGUCAUGGAAGCUAUCAUUCUUAGGUUACAAUUAAAAGUUGAUCCAAUUUAAAUACUCACAACCUAUAGUAGUAGCGUAAAAGCCGUAAGCCAGAACACAAGGCAGCUUCAUGUCUUUAGAAAAUUUACAUGCUUAUAUGAACAUAUCAAGAUUCCAGAAUUUUCCAUAUUGCUAACUUUUCUUUUGAUUGGUAAUUUUCUGACAUAUUGCCUGCUCAAAAUUUUUAAAAGAUCUGUUGUGUUUGCUGCUUGUUUUUGAAUUUGAGGUGUAAUGUCAAGCUUCUGAUAUUUUGGUGCACCCUGUACGUCAUUAUAUAUAGAUUAACUGUAUAUGUUUUACUAAAACUGUUUUGGGUCUAUAAUUUUUAUGAUAGUAAACUUAGGGCUGUUCACGAACCGAGCCGAGCCGAGUUUUGACCGAACCGAGCCGAGCUUUAAUUUUUUUUCUGACGAGCCGAGCCGAGCCGAGCCGAGCUUUUUUAUCGAACAAAAAUUGUGUUCAAGCUCGGCUCGUUAACUAACGAGCCGAACACGAGCUUGUUCGCGAACAAAUACAAGCCGAGCCGAGUCGAGUCGAGUCGAGCCAGAAAAAAAAUAAAGACAAACCGCUAGUUGACUCUUAAAAUAGCUAACCAAAUAAUUUUAAUUUUUUUGAAACUUUGUUUAUAUCACUAAAAUGUAUAUAUGUUAACAUCCAUACGGUUGGAUCGGAAAGAAAUAUUUUUUAAAAAAUUGAAACACUAAUUUAGGAUUAAACACUAGUUAGCGGUACUAGUUAACCUUCUACUUGACUGUUAAAAUAGCAAACCAUAUAAAAUUAUCAUUUUCCGAAAUUUUGGUUACAUCACUAAAAUAUAUAUAUAUAAAUUAUAUGUUGAAUUCUGAGUUCAAUAACAUAUAUAAAUUAUAAAAAAAACCCAAAAAUAUUAUAUUUUUUCGAGCUUUAACGAGCCGAGCUCGAGCCGAGCUCGAGCCGAACAUACUAAAAGCUCGGCUCGAGCUCGUUUACUUGACGAACAAUUUUUUGUGUUCGAGCUCGAGCUCGUUAACUUAACGAGCCGAGCCGAACGAGCUCUUAACGAGCCGAGCUCGAGCUUGUUCGCGAACAGCUCGGUUCGUUAAACAGCCCUAAGUAAACUAUUAUUGAUCUAGCUGGAAAUUUAUAUGCUUGUCAAAAAUAGUAUAGAGAAAAGUUAUGUAAAUUCGCAACUAACUUUAAGCCUAAUUAAUGUUUUCAGGUGCCUAUAUUUAUGCAUAAUGAGACUGAACAAGCAACGUUAUGGAGCCAAAUAUAUAGUGAAGACACAAAGCGACAAUCAAUUCCAGUUAUCAAAGCAUGGCAACUGAAUGAAAGAAUGUAAUUGCAUGUCUAUUAUGUUGUCUUCAUCCUCAAAAGCAUAUUCUUCCUGUACUCAGAUUUAUAAAUUUACAGGUAUGGGGACUUGCAGGGUCUUAAUAAGCAGCAGACAGCUGAAAGAUUUGGGAAAGAGCAAGUCUACAAGUGGCGAAGAAGUUACUAUGUUCGUCCACCAAAUGGAGAGAGCUUGGAAAUGUGUUUGGAGAGGGCUGUUUCUUAUUUCAAAGAGCAGGUAAACAUGCCUAGGAACAUAUGUGAUAAUUAAAAUUUAAAACCCUCUCAAAUUCUCUUGUAAGGUUUCAAGCUUUUAAGAUGGUACCAUACAUGUACUAAAAUAUAAAGUAGUCAUUUGUAAUUACCAAAAGAUUAAUAAUUGUUGCAUUGCAGAUUGAGCCACAACUUCUUGCUGGAAGGCAUUUAAUGGUCGUUGCUCAUGCCAAUUCACUAAGGUCUAUUAUAAUGUAUCUUGACAAAUUAACACCUCAAGAGGUAACAUGAAACAUUUUUGAGUCGAUGCUCUUAUAUAUAUUGUUUUUUUUUCUUUGAUAAGUUCUUUAUACAACUUAUAGUUGAUUGUUUUCAAAGGUAAUUAAUUUAGAACUCUCAACUGGGGUACCAAUGCUGUACAUAUAUAAAAACGGAGAAUUUACCAGAAGAGGAAGUCCUGCAGCACCUGCUGAGGCUAGUGUUUACUCUUAUACAUGGGUAUGAUUAUACACAUAUCUGCUAGUCUGAGUUUGCCGUUGUAAUAUAGAAUUCAUUCUUUAUCGACAUUCUUUUUUAUGAUAUUUCUCUCGCGUGCAGAAAAUAUAGAAGAUGUAACAAACAUAUUUAACUAAAUAUUUUUCAACACUUUGAGCUGUUUCAGCUUACCAGCUCACCAAUAUUUUUAGUUUAAUCUAAUUUACAAAAAUUUUGAGCUGUAAUAUAUUGUUUUAAAUGGAGUUAUUUCAAAGACCCCUCCUAGUAAUUCUUUUCCAUUUUGUGAUAUCAUAAAUUAUUUAGUUGGUGCCUUUUUUUCCUUCUGAACAGUAGCUCCUAUACUUGGACAUCUAUAGACUAUAGAGAUUGUAUGGUAUCUUCUUUGCUGCUUUGUUUUGCUAAUAUGCUUCCCUUAUAUGCAGAAUUUGGCUCUUUACAGGCAGAUGUUUGACCAAAUGUCACCAUGAAUUUUUGAAAUGAGGUAAGCUGCAUAAUCCGUUUGAGGGAGAAUGACUGAUAUAUCAGAUCACUAGGUUGUAGUUCAUUACAUCUACAAAGAAAUCAACAUAUAAUUAUUCAUGAAAUCAAUAUAGUUUCAACUUAUAACAAUUAAGGAUAUUAAUCGGCACAUGCGAUCGCUGUAUGAAGUAACACAUAAUAGGGUUUCAAUGGAGAUAUUUGUCUGCAUCAAAGAGCUAUAACAUGUCUUACACAUACAUAUAUUAUUGUAAGAGAGAAGCACACUGAUAUCAUAUUAAGGGCUACAAAAUUACAAUAGAAAGGGAUAGCGAAGGUAAAAUUAUAUGUAGAAACACUAUUAGGAUUGCUUGUUAGCUAGUGGCUUAGAGCAAGGGUUCAAUCUUCUUUAGGUGACUGGUAUCCUAAAUCCCAUAUUGAAGUCGUUCCCAUUUCAUUCCAAACCUCUUUAGUUAGAGCCGUGUUCAAGUCCACUUUUUCUCUACGGGUGCCAUAAAGUUCUUCGAACCAAACCUGUUCAACUACAUCUUCUUCCCAGUACUGUCCAUAUUUCUCUACUAAAUUUAAAUUCGCUUGCUUCUCUUGUGCAUCAAGAUGUUCUUCGUCCAUUUCUAUAUCCAUUUCCAUCCACUCUCCAUCAUUUGUAACAUUUCUCUUCUUCAUCCUUCCCUCAUGUUGUGCCACUUCUAUAUUAAUUAGGGGAUGUUCAGUCGUAGCAGUGUAUGUGGCAUAUGACCCUAGUGCUUUUGGAACUUCAAAUAUAUUGUGGUGACCACAGCUAGAUUGAUGGUCAGCUUGCAAGUUCUUGUUACUAAAGCCUAAUGGUAGCUCAGUAUGUGGGCGUGCAGAGUUUUGGUAAGCAUAUAACUUAUCCACCGACCUCUCUGAAUCAAAUUUAUAUUUCCUUUUUUGAUAGUUGUGCAACGUAGAGCGGUCCAAAGCGCCUCCAUGACCUUCCUUCACAGAUUCAUUCGAUUCAGGUGUUGAGAUGUUGAGUGACUUCUGUGUCAACUUUACUAGAACUUCUUCUUGGUUAAUUACUUUCGACAAAGAUGCAGUUUCUUUUGAGGUCAUUUUAUUUUGCAAGCACUUGGACUGCUUAACUAACCGUCUCGUACGGUCUAAAUUAAGAGACAUGUGUUUGAUAAUAGCAGCCAAAACACUUACUUUCCAAGCCUUUUUCAAAUCAUGAGGCUUCUUGUAAGGUGGUGGCCCUUGUUCUUGGGAAGUUGACCCUUGAUCACCCCACCAAAUUUCGUUUCCAUUGGGCCACCACGGAGGGGCCAAACCCCUCUCCAAAGGAAACCUCCUUUGUGGAGGGAUGCAGUGUUGCAUGAGAAGAGAAAUAAGUGACCCUAAAGUAGUAUCAUGCAAGUCUUGCAAAUGAUGCAUACAUGAAGUUGGGUCCAUCUCAACAGCUUGUUCUAUUAUUGAUGGCAAGAAAGUGGCAAUAGCAGCCGGAGCAUUAAGAUCAAACCGCACACUCUCUUUCCACCAACUACGUAGGCUGUCAGAGGAGCCUGUCACAGGCUUCCCUUUUUCAGUUACUAUACCAUACACAAACCCUUGUGCAUUACAAACCUCCAUGAUCUUUACCAUAUACUUAAGGACGGCAUCUUGAGAUCUUGACAUCUUUUUUCGCCUUAACUGCUCGAGUCUAGCCUCAGAUGAUUCGGGCUCCUCCCUCUUGGCUUUCAGCUUUUGCAUGCGUAUACGAUCCUUACGCAUUCUAUUCUUUAGAUCAUUAUAACUGAUCUCUUCAUCUCCGUCAUCUGUUAUAUCUUCGGUGGGACUUUGAACAUCAAUCUCUUCGUGUAUCUCCACCAUCUCAACUUUUUGUGACCAAGGGUGGAAGGAAACCACACUUGAUAUCUAUGAAAUUUUUGAAAAGGAAGUAUGCAUGGGUCAAAAAAGUACAUCAAAGGGUCUAUAUAUAGUCAUUCUUGCUUUCUUGGUAAGUUAGUAGGAUUAGAUAUUUGUAGUGUGGCCAAGGUCGCAAUAAAUGUGGGGUUCUGUGGGAUAUUUCCUAUGCCUGAUGACAGAGAUGGUUUUAUGGAAAAAGGUGUAUUUGAAUAUAUGAACAUAUGUUGAGGUGUAAAAUUGAGGAAUUUGAGGAAUUUGUUGCAUGGGAUAAGCAAUAUUUGAUGUAAAUAACACAUGUAGAAAGAUGAUGAUACAGGCACAUAUUUUUGUUUACUGAAAAUUGAAAAGAAUACACUGGUCGGUUCCCAGGGAAAAUAUAUUUAUUUGAGCUGGUCAGCACAAAAAGUCUAGUCCUGGCAUGAAACCCAUGUCAUUGCUGGCGUGAGAUCUUUAAAGAAGAAUUACUAUGUGCGCUGUCUGAAUAGUACAUAGUAUGCUGACCUGUGGAUUAGUUUGAUUCAUCAAGCCCCUGAACUCCUGAAUACCGUGAAGUUUGUUUCAUCCAUUAAAAUUUUUGGAUAGGUUUCUUUCAGUAAUCAGACUGAUGCUGCUACUAUGAAAUUUCAGGAUUCAGGGGGUAGAAGCAGCCUUUUUAAAUUUCAUCAGGCAGUCAGCUUAGCUUACCUUCUGUAUAUUUAUUGGAUAAUUGGAGAUAAAUCUGAGUAUGAGUAAAGAUGUAUUUCAAUAUUAUAUUGGUUGACAUAAUUAAUUCACUAUUUCCUGCUCAGGUCUGAUUUGUUUACCUGCCUAAAAGUGGAGGAUCCAGGAAUUUUACCAAGGACUGCUGUGGCGUUGUACAUUGUGUAUUAUUCAACCAGCACACAAGAGAUCAAGAUAUAUGUAACAUUAUUCAACCAGCACACAAGAGAUCAAGAUAUAUGUAGCAUUCGAACAACAUGUUUGUUAAAUAGUUGAAACUAUUACUUGCAACUCUACAGAUUUGAUAUUCUGAUAUUUUUGAAUUUCAUUUUGUCUAGAUAGUUUAUAAAAUGUCUUGCUGAGCUUAUCAUUCAUCUAAUCAGAUCUCUGAUUAUGUUGCGGAGCUUUGGACAACAUAUAUUCCUUUAUUGCUUGUUUGGAAACUUGGAUUUCAUUUGAAAUCCUGGAUUUUGGAUACACAAAAAAAAGUUGGAUUGAAUUUAAUUUGAAAUCCAGAACAUUUAAAUAUUAGUAUAAAACUGGGAAUUUGAAAUGAAAUAUAUGUUUUCAAAUUUAAUAUUACAGAUUAGUGGUGUGCCCUUUUACUCUCAACUGUUGAGAUAUAAAAUCGGUAGAAAAAUUGUUGUAGAAAUCAUAUAAUUAUUUGGUGAUUUGAGGUAUAAUGUAAAAAAGAUAGAUAUUAGAUUAAAAUUUGAUGGUGAAAUCCGUGACAGCUUCCCGCAAAAACUUAAAAUUAUUUCUUCAAAAGUAUCUUUAAAAGUGGCUUUUGUGUUGAAAGUUGUUUUUAUAUUUAACAAACAGUUUUUCACAUAUUUUCAGAAAAUAAGUUGUUGUCUGCUGCACUCUCUGUACUUGGCAAUGUUGAAAAGUUGGGUUAGUGUACUCUGAUAACUGAAUUUGCUGGUUAAAUCCUUAGAAACCACUCUGUUACUCUGCACACUUUGUUGAAGGGACAAACAUUUACAAUUACAAAGCUAAGCAGAAAAUGUUAUUUCAGGGGAAUGAUUGCUUUCCUAUGCUACGGAAAUACGAGUAAGAUUAGAUUGGGUGGUGGUGGUUGGGAUGCCUGGUUUUUUUAACUUUCACGAUUUUCCGGAGGAUAUUUUUUAUUAUCCCCUGCUUUGUAAGACGAUUUUCAAUCGAAUUGUUUUUUUAUUAUUAAUAAAAUCGAGGCAUUUAUACUGGCAACUCAAUUUGUAACAGACUCGUGCGAUGAUAGCAGCAAAUACAUCAUUAUGCAUCUCAAGCUCAUCAAUAACCUGUUCCUCUGGUACUGAGGUCCCCAAUUUUAUUUACUCUGUUAGCAAAAAUAAAGAAAUACAAAGACGGAGACUUUAUCUCUUUCCUCCGAAAGAAUCCUUGAAAUGAAUACCAGAACAUCACUCUACCUUUGGUAGUAAAAUUAUUGCAAGAACACUUAACAAAUCUCGAUUUUUUUCAGUAACUAGAACCCUACCUGUUUCUUGAAUUGAAACAUGCGAACUCGUCGCAACACAUAUCCAAAGCACUCCAAAAUUUUGCUAGACAUUUAGAACCCAAUGUGUUGUCUGUACUCUGAAUAAACUUCAACAGGAGUCUGUUUUCCGAUAGGCGCCCUUAUGACAAAAUCAGGAAUAUCGAAGGCAUCCACAAGUUCUCUUGCUACGUUCCUCACUUGAAAGCUUAGAUAUUCCGUCAACUUGUGUAUUGCCUGCACAUUGAAAAUCCCAAAUAAGUUUGAUAUGAAGCCUAAGCAUAGUUCAUGAUUUCAGAUGGAUAAGUUUUUUGAUUCCAGUUGUGAGUGUCCUUGAAUAAGUAGUUACAGUUGGAAUAUUAUGGUCAAUGCAACCACAGAGCAGUGUAAUAAUCAUGAUACAGAACGCAGAAUCAUAUAUUAUGUUGUUCAUCAGAUUGUGUAGUAUGUCUGUCAGAUAAAUUCCUAAGCCUUAACAACGUUUUAUUCAUACCUUGGCUUUAUUGGGAGCAACAUAGUCGACAUUGCGGUAUGUCCCAAUGUCGUUCCAGAUUCUAUCCAUUGCGUAAAGAUCACAAACAAGUUUCAAAGCAGCUCUUGAACUCGGAUCAGGGCAGCUGUAAACAAAAACAGGUACAGCUGAGAUUGCCACUUAGGAAAACAAACCUUGUGUGAAGUUAAAAAUAAGACCAACAGCACAACAGUACUUCUUUACGGCUUUGAUAAACGUUUCGAGGAUGACAGAUUCAAUGUGGGACUCUGCAAGCGUCAGAAGGUGAUUUAAACAUCUAUUCCAUGCACCAAAACUACCAAGAGUCUUGGUAUGUUUCUGAAGUCGCAUAGCAGCACUAUGUAGCAAUCGAGAUGUCCGAUACUGCAACAAGAAUGUGAAACCAGGACAGGUUAAAUUCAGGGUAAUUAGCUGUGUCACAGAGUACAGAACCCAAAGAAAACUCACCCUAAAGGCAUCCAACUGGAAUGUAGAAUCGCGUAGAUGAUCUUCACCUUCCCAUCUAGAGGUUACCGGAUUUGGCUGAGACAUAUAAGUGCUCAUCGACUCUCUUAAAUAGUUCCAUGUAACCGCAAGCGUUCCACCUUGGAAUUUUUUCUGGUACUGCUUUAGAAGGUCUGCUGCAACCUAUAUCAAAUGAAAGCACAUCUCUUAUAUCCUCAAAAAAGCUUUUAGAUGUCAAGACUCAAGAAUGCAACCAACUAAUUUUCCCCAUGAUAUCUCAGUGCCUUUAAAACGGCAAAUUAUGUUCAAAAUAGUUCCAUAUUUUAUUAGAUGACGUGCAAAUGCAUUCUGCACCCUCAGAAAAGCAGAAGUGACUCGACUAAACAGUCAACAUACUAUCUUGAAAAGGUUUGUCACUCGUGAAGAUGACCGAUAACAGUACAGCUAGUUGGUGAAAACAUUCAUACUAAUAUACACCAUACUGACACACACUGUAAUUAAGUGAAAUCUUUCAAUCCACUGAAACCAAUUAAGGAAAAUCUGGAUGCACUAUGUUAAAAGCUUUAUAAAAUUGAGUACUCCCAUUUUUAAACGAUAUAUAGAAGUUUUUAGCUGUGAGAUGUCAGUUACCAGACGGCAUUGCUGCCCCAUAGGCGGUUAGAAUAGAGAGUGGUACCUGCUGAAGAAGCACUGUAUUGUCCCCUUCAAAUGUCUGAAAAAUGUCAUGAUCAUUUCUCAAGCUACCAAACCGAUUUACAGCAGCAUAGCCAUGGCCUCCACAAGCUUCCCUACAAGUACUCAAAGACUUUGCUGUAUAUGUAGUCACAUAUGCCUUGAGUCCAGCCGAGAGAGCAUGGACAUCCGCCACCAAUUCUUCAUCCUGAGUCUUCUUCAUCUCAGAAUAUUUUGCAACCAAAUUAGUUGUAGCAAAAUGAAAUGCAUAAGUUGAAGCCAGCAUUGGCAUAAGCUUAUGCUGAUGAGACUGGUAGUCAAGAAUGCUAAUUUCAGCUUGCUUAGGUGGUCCAAACUGCUGACGGAGUAGAGCAUAUCGGAUAGCAAUUGUGACAGCAAUUUUCAGGAUACCAACGGAGGAAUAGGCAAGACCUACCCGUCCACCUACAAGUUCACCCAAUGUGGCAGCAAAUCGUUUACUAAUAGUUGGAAGACUACUUGUAUAUUUCCCAUCCCGUGAAACAUCUCCAAAUCGAUUAAGAAGAUUAUUACGUGGUAUUCUCACUGAACGGAAUCUUAAUGCCCCAUUAUCCACCCCAUUCAGACCAACCUUGUGGCCACAAUCCUGUAUCUCAACUCCUGGAAGUGUUUCAUGGGUAGUCAUAUCCCUUAUUGGAACAAUGAAGGCAUGAACACCCAUAUCAGUAACACCCUUUGUAUCAUGAGUUGGUAACAUCAGCUUGGCAAAAACAGUAGCAAACUUUCCAUGUACGGCAGCAUUGCCAAUCCACCAUUUAAUGGCCCCAUCAUGGGGUGUGUCGAUAACAAAUUCAUCUGUAAGUAGAUCAAAUGUUGCAACAGUUUCCAGGCCUUGUACAUUUGAGCCUUUAAAAUGAAAAAAAUAAUAAUAAUAAGGAGAGAGAGAGAGAGGUUAAGUCAUGUUUAGCUUUUACAGAAGUUGUAGGCCUACACAAGUUAAAAUUUCAAUUUAAAAUCAGAUCCCGGAUUAUAACAUUUCUCCAGAGUGAAAAUUGUGUGCAUACCGUGAUGGAGCUCUGUCAUAGCAAAACAACCAGGAUACUCAACACUGUCAAUCCCAUUGAAGUACUUGUCCCUAUGUUUUUUGGUUCCCAAAUUUAGUACAGAACCUCCCCAAAGACUGCGCCGCAAUAAAAAGCAGAUUAACACAUCAAAUUCUUAUGUAUUUUUAUUUUUAAAUAAUUAUAUUGUGUUCAGUCAGGGAGAAUGGAAUGAAAUUACUAAAAAUAAACGAAGAUAACAAAGUUAGAGAGGGAAGUUUUGGAAAAGAUUGAUCAUGUUCAAAAUUUUUAUGAUGAAAUUUGAAAAUAAAUCAAGUACAAAAUGAAAUGGAGCAUUUCUUCCCAAAUUGAACGUAUGAUAUCUAGUAUAGAGGAUAAAAAACAGAACAGAGGAAAAAAUGAAAUUUAUAACCGGUUAUUCAUAAUAUGGUUCAAAUUUCAUUCCGUUCUUUUAAAAUUCAUUUACCCCAACCAAACACAAUAUUAAUGCGAGAUGAAUCAAGUGAAAUAAAGAACCUGUAUUGAACUCCAAGCUUGACACCGAACGAGACAUCAAGAAUGCCAGCAGCUUCAGCAAUAGCAAAAUACCUCCCAGGCUCUUCAACAACAUACUUGAAUGGUCUAAUCCCGCCUUCUCUCACCAUCGCAAGCAGCUGCCUCAUGCACAGCUCCCUAUGCUCAUCUUUCGAUAUUUCAACCGGCGUUUGAAGAUCAGGCCUCGACUCGAAAAAAUCGUACACCUUUUGCUGUUCAUUUCUGUACUUGCCUCUCAUGUACAUAGACAGAUGGGGGGUGCUCACGUUAAGCUUUCCUCUUGCUGCGCAUGUUAGUAGCUGCAGCUGCUGGUUUGAGCUCGGUGGUGGUGGGGCCUCUGUGGGGUUGAGGUGCAAGGUGAGCCGUUGGAUUCUCCGGUUGAUGAGGGGGUGAUUGUUGUCUUGUUCAUUUUCAGCCGUUGGAUGGGAUACGUGCGAUUGAAGUCUUGAGGGAUCCAUUGGAAUUAUGGAAAGCUGGAGGGUUUAGUUGGGGUUGUUUUAUAGAAACACGACUGGGUUUGGUGAAAGGACGCGUGGCUGUUUGUGAUUGGUUGGAAAAUUGGUUUGGUUUGGCGCGCCAUUCGAUGUGAUGAGGAUGAUAAUAGUGCUAGGACAUGCAUGGAUGUGUAUGUUUUUAAUGUAGUUGGAUUUGGAUCAGAUCGGGUGACUGGGACGUGUGGGAUUAGAUUCGUCAAGAAGGUAUAGUAGGUGUUUGGCGGGGCUUUUAAGCCCCGCUUCUGGACUUUUAAGUUAUAAGCACUUAUUCGUACUGUUUGUGUAAAAAGUCGAGAAGCACUUAUAAAAAGCUACGAUUCUUAGCUUUUGUUUCAUGACUUCUACUUUUUUCCCAAACACUUUAAUCACUUAUAAGUCUUAACUAACUUCUAACUUCUACUUCACUUUUUUAUUUUAAGCAAGAAGCACUUAUUUUAAGCUCGUCCAAACGGCCCCAUAGUUUCUAGAGGAAAUUGUACUUCAGACCAUAAAUCAGAAAACAGACUUUGACAAUUCGGUCGAUUUAGUUGUUAUCGUACGAUUACGAAGAUGGGCUAUUUUGUUCAAAUUUUAUAUAUUUAAAAAUCUGGUUGCAGACGUUAGGAAUAUGAACAUCUAGGAUAUAUUCAUAUUAUAAUUUUAAUAUAUAUGUGUAUUUUCUUUCGGUAAUAGUUGAGAUUUGAGAAUUAAAUAUAAAUUGUAACAAUUUAGGUAGUACAAUAUUUAAAAUUUUCAAUUAUAUUUUCAUUUCGUAUACUAUAAAUAUAUGAAGAAAUCAAAAUGUGGAGAUGCAUUGGAUUUUUCCCCAUGAUAUAAUACUUUAAUUUUUCCGUCCAGGUAUAUAUCGAAUUUAAGUUUAACGAGUUGCCGGUGAGAAUUUAAGCUCAACUUGCCGGUGAAAGUUUUGCUAUAUACUAUUUUAUCAGAAAAGAGAUACUAGAGCUCCUCUUGUGAACUGAGAUACAUAUUUGUCUGAAAGUUUUGCGCUCUGUUAUUUUGUUAAGAGGAGAGACAUUGCUACAAGAUUAUAGUGCAAGUAGGUAAUGAUAUUUUCAAAAACAAUCAACACUUGUUUGAAGGCCUGAUGAUUUAACUAUUCAUUUGUUAUUUCAAAUGAACGAUUAUGGUUUCGGUGAGCGGUAUUUUUAUUUUAUUUUCUCAGUUAAUAUAGUAUUUUAUUAAAAAAAUUUAUUUCAUAAAUUAUUUUGUUAGUCGAUGAUUUGCCCUCAUAUCGAGUUAGGUCAGAUGAAGACCCCAAAAUUUUGGAGUUUUGGAGAUCACAACACCCUCAUUAAAUAAAUAUAAUAAUCAAUGACUAAGAUUAUUUUUAAAAUAUAAAUCAAUUAAUUACUAUAAAAUUGAAAAAUUUAAAAAAAAAUAUUUUUUAUUCUGCUGAAUACCUGUGUAAGAAACCACCGCUGAAAUAGCAUUAAGCAGCUGGGCUUCUAGUGAUCAUAAUUUGGGCUUCACUUAAAUCUUUCAACAAUUGGGCUUCUCUGCCACAAUUCAAAUACAAAUUCCCGGGUCCCUUUAGGUUAAUACUUGGCGCCUCUCCCGUUCAACAAAUCAAUCUGAAAUUAAAAAUAAUUUGGGCCGGAUCCAAAAAAUAAUUCCCGCCCGAAAAAUCGAAUUCCCCCCUUUCUGCCAAUUGCUAUUGUAAAAUCAUAAAAAUCGCAGCCUUACAGCUAUACACACAGAGAUCAACAAACAUAUGUAUAUAUAGAAAUGAUGAUCUUUCUCUUCUUCUCUCAACAAAGUAACAAUCACUUGUACUAGAUUUCUCUCUUUCUUUCCCUUUAUUACAAGGUCAGUUUCUUACUUAAUUAACUUGUGUUUAUGUUUUUUAAUGUAUUGAUUUUUAUUGUUAUUAUUAUUGUUGUCAUUCUCUUUUUAGUUCGUCGAUGGGAUUUUUGCUAAUUCAAUUGUUAGUCUAUGUUGGUUGGUGUUAAUUGAGAUGUACAGUUUAUAACUAAAGGUUUGAUUUUGAUGCGUUUUUAGGGUUUAAAGAUUGAAGCUUUGUUUGAUUAGAGUUGAUUUAUGAUGAGUGGGGAAAAUUCUUGUGAUGAAGUUUCCAAGAAAAGGAGUGCUUUAGGAGAUGUUACGAAUCUUGUUGGGAAAAGAGGAUUAUCGGAGAUUUCGGGUGGUGAUUUUGAGGACAGGAAAAAGGGUAAGUCUGUGAAGCAAGUAUGUUUAGAAGUGGAGAAUGUAGGAAAAAAGGAAUCUUUGGCUGAAGGGGGUGUCAAUAAAGAUAGGGGCAAGGAGGUAUUGGAUUGCUUGGGCGUUUGUCCCGGGGCUGAUGAGCCGAAUAGCAAAUUCAUUUCUGAGGUGCCAAAGUUAUUGAAGAAUGACUUUCUACAUGGCGGGGUUGAAGAUAUUAAUCGAAAUGUGGCUGAUGUUUCAAGAGAGAGUUGUGUAUCUGGCAUUCCAAAGCCUACAAGCCCGGCUGUUCUGGAUAGUGUUGAUGUGGGAGGGGAUCCGGCGAAGGAUGAGGGAGUCGGUUCUCAAGGCGAACAAAGCACUACUGUCUUUGAACAAUUUGAUACUGAUGUUGAUGAAAAUGAGCUUGGUGAUGAGAAUUUAGACUCGGGCAAAAGUGAGUCAGUUGAUUAUCUCAGAUUUCCAGAAUCACAAGAAUCCAGAUCAUGUGGUCUGGAAAGAUGUGUUGGGUUUAAAGGUGAUGGAUUAUCUGAUUCUCCUGUGGGUAUUGACUUGAUCAAGGCUUGCACUUGUUCUUUUUGCACAAAAGGUACUCUCAACUAAUAUAUUUUUAUCUGAAACCUUGAUAUGUUUAAAUUAUGUGGUUAUAUGUCAUCAAGUACAGUACUAGAUGCUUCAGUUUGUUUUAUGAAUGAUCUGAUUAUGGUGUUUGUUCUAUGUUAUUAAAUCAGCUGCUUAUAUUUGGUCAGACCUUCACUACCAGGAUAUCAAGGGCCGUUUAGCAGGUUGGUGUUCAAUUUUUGUAUGGCCGUCAAAAAUCAGCAUGACACUUUAUAUUGGUUUUGUGUUUUCUUUUGCUGAACUCUAUUAUCGAAUAAUAUGUUAUAUUUUUAACUGAAUUCGCCAGCAUUAAAGAAGAGUCAGAAAGAAGCGAACAUCUUGGCUGAAAGGAGUACCAAGAUCAGGGCAGCUAACAUUCAUGGUCAAGAAACACCUGAUGUCUCAGAGCUCCAGUCAAGUCUUAGGGGUCAGUGGAGGUCGCUCUUCGCUCAUAUGGAGGAAAUUUUUGGUCAAGAAAGCAGCCAGCUUGUAAGUUCAACUCUAGAGCUUGCACUGAUCACCCUGCCUGCUUUUGCACAAAUUAUUAAAUGGUAGUAGCCUUUAUAAAGCACAAGAGGCUAUAUAUAGCUAUAUCUGUUUAAUUGUCCAUCUGAAUCGCAUAAUUGUGACUUUCAUUGGGCUUGUGAUUUAAAAAUGAUAAGCCAAAUAUCAAAAAGGAAAAGAAAGUGAUAAAACCUCAGCUAUCAUUCACAUUUUUGUUUAUUGUAAUUUUGAACUUUCCUGAAAUUUGAUAAACUAUGUAUCAAAGCACAAAAGAAGAGAUGAAAACCCAAGGUAAUACUUAAUAGUAUACUUGGUUUAUUUCAAUCUUCAAGUUUUCUGAAAUUUGCCAAUUUUUUUUAUUUUUACUGCUUUUAAGUAUAACCCCUGUUGCUCUAUUGGUUUUUAGUCUGUCGUUGGGUAGACAAUUUUUUUUAUAAAAAAUCAUCUAAGAAUAUUUAAAUUUUUUUAAACUAAAAAUUCCCAAGUGCCGGCUCUUACCUCUGUUUUCACCUGUCUUCAACACUGCUAUUUUUUGUUGUAAAACAUGUGGUUAUUCUGGUAAAUGUUCAAGGAGAGCAGAUUGUUAUACUAUGACAUACCUUUGAUUGUUAAGAUCAAAGGUUCUCUAGAAAUGACUAUGUAGUAACUAUCCAAACAAUCACUCUUAACAUUGUUAUACUUGCCUGAAUUAGAUUACAAUGAAAUUUCUCCUUGUGUUGGCUUAUGGUAAUUUGUUAGGAUCUGUUUAACCUUAUUAGAAUAUUGAUGGAUAUUACAGCAAGCCAGCGACCCUAUUUUCUUCUCCACUGUUAGAAGUGGCCUUUUUUAUGUUGAUAACCUCUGUUAUUUCUUAUCUAAAUUAUUUUGAAUUGGCUGAUAUACUUUUAUCUUCCUUUUUACUCGUGAAGUGCUUCUUAGGUAUACGCUCUGCCUGUGAAACUUUACUAGAUGUAUCAAAUAACUAAAGGAGAUUUGAAGGCUGAAAUUGAGUCCAGAGGUUCUGAAAAACCAUUCAAGCUUCUGUUUUAUAUUUUGUAGCAAUUAUGCUAGUGAAAAUUGUGAAACAUCUAAUGCAUGCAAGAUCUUAGGCAACAUUUUCUUCCGCUAGAUGACAAUAGAUAUAUGAACUUAGUUUCUACUCUCAAACUUUUAUGAAAAUAACAAAUAUGAAUUAUAUAUGAUUAGAAACAAACUAAAAUUUCCCGUCUGACUAUCAGAAGUUUCACAUAAACAUUCUGGCCUCUGAAUGUUUUAUCAGCUACCCUGUAUUAGACAAGUCAAAUAAUAAAAUUUAGUCUCUAAAUGCUUGCAAGAUCUUAGGGAACAUUAUUAAUCCUAUCUGGUCAUCAACUUGCAAAGGAGGAAAUAACCGCAUAUAGGAACACAAUUUACAUACCAACACUAAUUGUACCCUAGAUCUGUGGAAAUACUGAGAAGAGGUAUGUAACUUGACUUUCUUUGCAUAAUUGGUAAGAGUUUAAAAUUGUCAGUAGCGCUGAUGAUUCUAAAUGUAUCUUGUAUGGAUUCAUACCAUAAGCAGUGUCCACGCGGCAUAUGGUAAAUAUAGUUGGUGUAAUGUGAUAAAUUAGUGCUGCAGAUAUCAGACUGAAAGCAUUUCAAAAAUUUGCUGCUGUUAGGCUUUUGUACAACUUCUUUUCGUUAUCUUUGUUUGUAAUGCAUCUAUAUAAGCAGUGUCCACGCGGCAUAUGGUAAAUAUAGUUGGUGUAAUGUGAUAAAUUAGUGCUGCAGAUAUCAGACUGAAAGCAUUUCACAAAUUUGCUGCUGUUAGGCUUUUGUACAACUUCUUUUCGUUAUCUUUGUUUGUAAUGCAUCUAUAAGUUAUUGAUUAUAAUCUCUUAUCAGAUAUAACUAUGCUGGAUUGCAUGAUCUACUUGUCGCAAAUAUUUUUGAUUUUGCUCCCAUGUAUAGUGAAUAUUGUAUUAUUGAUGAAUGAUUGAGUGAGAUUUGUAAGUAUCGUUGAUGUUCCUAUGGCUCCUAAAUACUCCGGUCUCUUUAUUAUUUUCAACAUGGAAUCUGAUAAGUAGCUCAAUCAUGAAUUGCAGGAAUCCAACUUAUACACACUAAAGGAUCUGAGAGAUAAUUGCAAGACUGAAUUGGAGUCGAUUAAUGGGAUGCCUUUUAGUAAAGAGUAGUAUGCUUCCAGAGAUAUGAUCCAUGUUGUGUUUGUAAUGUUGGUGCGCUUUUGCCCCAUUUCUUUCUUGUUCUCCUAUGUUCUGUUUUACUGGUUUCAUCUGAAUCUACCUAAUCUGUAGUUGUAUAAUAAUAAAAUUGUAUGCUAUAUUAGCUCUUUAAACGAUUGUUUGCACCAAUAUUUGCCCUUAGUACAAUUUUCAGACAAUCUUUUUCCUAUUUAAGUUGUGUUUGUAGGUGGUUUUUAUCUAUAAUUGAAUAUGACUUGGUGUGAUUAAUAGUGACUGGUUUACUUCAUGAUAAUCUGGAACAUAGUCAUAGUUUUAUUUGCAAUAGCGUGUAAAAUGUACUUGUCAUCAGUGGAUCAGUUGGGGGACUGGGGCAGUUGAAACUUGGAUGUGAAGCUGGAAUAUUAUGCUUAGACUCUUAUUUUAUAAUGACACGAUAAUGGCUUGAUUUGGGGUCAUGUUUGAUGCAAUGAUUAAGUGUUUACUUUCAAUCUGUUAAGACUUUGAAUCUAAGACUGCAUUGGUUCGGAGUUUUUCUGACCCCAGUGAUUUAAUCAAAAAAAGAACUCUGCAAAUUUUGUUAAAUUACCAAGCCACAUUAUGUGUCUCCAGCACCAAACUUGCACAAUAGAGCUCAGCAAGUCACAUUCAUUAGCAGUUAGAACCAUUUUUAUCCCAUCUUUGUUUAUUGCAUUAUUGGAAUAGUUUGUAUUACAAUCAGUAGAUAAUGAUGCUUCCUUCUCUAGAGAUAAACUAGUUAAUUAGUUGAUGCUUCUCUGGAGAUAACUUAGUUAACUAGUUGAUGCUUCAUCCGAGUUCUUUGUUUAUUCUUGAGAAUGGAGAUAAUGGUGUUUAUCACAUAAUCAUGCAAAUAAUGGGUUUCUAGUCAACUCUUGCCGAUUGAAGUGGCAUGUCAACUACACAUGAAUUAUAAUCAUCCCAUCUAGUGUUAACCAACAGUAUUGGUAGAAUAUGAUUAUAAUACUUCAAUCACGUAAUACACUAAUAAAAAAACAUAGUCAACCACAGCAAGCAGCACUAGCAAAUAGAGUUUGUGAACUGUGAUGUAGGUCUUGUUCAUGAUCUUUUGUGAGUCAGGGAGGGGCUUAAAAACGUUGCAAGCACCUCUUAACCCAUGUCAUUAAUUUAGGAUGCUCAUCUUGAGGCUGAAGUUGCCAAGUUCUUCGUAUGUAUAAACCAAAAGUAUUACCAAUUUACCGCCAUAAAGACAUUUGUCACUAAGCUCACCUCCUAAUACCUUGAGUUCAGGGCCGUCUGGGAGAAUUUUGGGGCCCUGUGCUAAAAUAUGAAUUAGGCCCCAAAUAAUAAAAAAAUAUGUAUAUUGUAAAAGUAAAUAAAUAAUAAAAAUAUUAUUUUAUUUUUUUAUAAAAUUAAAACAUGUCACUUAGAAUAAGAUAAAUAAUGUUAUUAAAUAAUCAGUAAUUCUAGUAUUUUAAACAAAAUUUAUAUAUGAAUUUAUUUGAGAUAUAUCUAUAUUUCAUUGAAAAGAAUGAAAUUUAUAGUACAUAUGAAAAAAUAUCAUAUGUAAAAAAUAUUAUGAAAACAUUUAAUAAAAGAGUAAUUAUUAUAAAAAAAAGUAAAGAUACAACACAAAAGUAUUAAAAAUGCAAAUAGAUAUAAUAAAUUAAUCUAUUAGAUUAUGUAAUUAUUUAUCUAUAAAUAAAUAGAAUGAAAAUAAAUAUUAAAUUUUCAAUUUUCAAUUUCAUUCUUUAAAUUUUUUUUAUUAAAUAAAACAUUGAUUUCUAAAUUUUGAGGCCCCUAUAGUUUUGGGGCCCUGUGCCGUCGCCCACCUUGCACGUCUCAAAAACCGGCCCUGCUUGAGUUCACCGUCAGUUCUUUUUUCCCGCCUCCUUUUCUUCUCCAACAUGAUAUGGAUCAGAAGGGAGCAAAGGAGCUCUGUCGUUACAGACUUCAUCAAUGUAUAUUGUACAAUGAGGGAAGACUUGCAGACUGGCAUCCCAUUUUGGAUGAAGUACCGGAAUUUUGUGGCAAACCGGGUUCAUCUUAGCUCUUGUAAUCCUUCCUCAAGUCCUGUUCUUUGUACUCGUACACUAUAUGCCCUUUUGAGCUGAUGCAACUCUCAUUCUAGCCGAACAUACUUCCCAAAAGUCCACCAGAAAUCACCGCUUAAAAUGUACAUUAAACUUGUAUAUAUCCCUGCAUGGCUGCAUGGGUUAGUUGAAGACAUUGCUAGUAAUAUCAAGAAACCAAACUUAUGAAGGCAAAUUGAUUUAAAUUGGUUUGUAUGUAACGUAGCAACUUCUGACUCCUAUAACAAUUACAGGAUUUUAGUUUGUUUAAUGCUAUGUUUUAUGUCUAUCUAAUUAUGUACUGGCGAAAGAAUCCUUGACUAAAUUUCUGCAAUACAUAUUUAAUAAAAAUUGCCGAUUACUCCCUCCGCCCCACCCGAUUCUUUAUAUCGGAUUUGGACACGGAAGUUAAAAAAAUAGGUAUAAAGUAGUGGAAAGAGAAAGAAUAAUGGGUGAAGUGAUAGGAUCCAUAGAUAUUUAAUAUAUAAAAGAUAUAGUGGAGUAAAAUUAUGGUGAAAAUGGAGGAAAAGUGGGAAAGUGUUGGGACCCAUUAACUAUUUAAGAAAAAUGUAAGAUAAAGAAACGAGUGGGACGUCUAAAAGAAAUAGUAAAGAUUCGGUGGAACGAAGGGAUUACUUGUCCAUUGAUAGAACAACUGCAAAGUUGAUCAACUAACAUCUAUCUACGGUUAAAAAAUGAGAUACUACAUCUUUUGAUACAGUACCACUAGGGGCGUAGCUACGUUCACCACCGGGGUCACUUGCACUCCUCACUUUUUAAUAUCCAAAUUUAAUUUUUAAAUUUUUGACCCUCAAAAAAUAAUUUUUUUGAUCCUUAAUUAGUGUUGUAAAAAAUGGUAAUCAAACUUUUUUUUUUUUUUUUUGAAAAAGGAAAAUAAUUCAAUAAUGAAAAGCCAUACGGCAUCUACAGAUAUAAUCGAAAUUGAACAAACGCAUAAUCAUAUCGCCGUUGAAUCCUUCCUUCUUCGGUAGGCAACCAAGCGAUUUUUUGAAGAGAUAUAUACAUGCUGUAAUACUCUCAAUGUUGUUUUGAGCAAUCGACCAUAAAUGCAUCACCAUACAAACCUUUAUCAUUGAAUCAGCAUCAUGAAAAUCCCGCAGAUCUGUAAUCCCGGACAUGAUGAACACACAAAACCCAAACAAAAAUCAAACUCUCACAGAAGGAGAGACCAAACAAAACCCAAAUAAAUUGGGAACUUAUUGAAGAAAACAAGAGAUUAACUAAUAGUAAGAAAAGAAGACAAUAUUGGGGCUUUCCACCGGUGAAAUCCGAUGGAAGCCCCUCGGAUAAAAGAGACGGCGGCUACUUCAAGGUGAGAGAAAUUUUAAUGGUCGGUGAAGUCAUAGAUUAGGGAUUAAUCGGUGAUUAAUUGAAUUGACCGGGGAUUAAUCGGAUUAAUCAGUAAUUAAUCGGAGAUUUAAUCAGUUCGGCGAGCUACGGAACAGGGAUUAAUCGGUGACUAAUCGUGAUUAAUCACCAACUUUUAGAACAGAGCCCCUAAACGUAAAACAUUGAUACCGGAAGUACAUAAAUUUUUUUAAAAAAUAAUGAAAUCAUUGUUUUAUAUUUAUCAAAAUUUGUUGAAAUAGAGUAUUAAUAUUGUAAGCACGAUUCUAAAAUUGUGAUAUUUGUAUUUUUAUAUUUAAGUUCAGUUUAUCAUAUUUUUUUAGGAAUUUUCUGUGGUGUACCCAAGUUCACACAAUAGUUAAUAACUUUCAUGAGAUUAGUAAAUCUGAUUGGCGGUUAAAUAAUAAAUGUUAAUCGGCCCCUUACAUUCACACUAAUUCCACCAAUAAAAGAAGUCAUUUUUAUGAGAGUUAGUGUUUAUUGUGUGUCCUUUGGCACACAUUUAGAAUGGCCGAUUUUUUUAUGAGAUUGUUUUUCGAACAACCCCCCCCCCCCCCCUACUAUGGCCGUGUUUGGGAGUUCGAGGUUUGGGGCAAAAUUAGAGGUUUGAGCCUUUGAGGUACUUUAGAGGUUUGACCACUAAAAUAAGCUAAUAUUAGUGGUUGGUAGUUAGCGGAUUAAAAUUGGAUCCAAAAAGCUAAUUUUGAAAAAGCUACUAUGAGGAGUUUUUGGGAUUAGCGGUUUUGGUUUGUGUCAGAAAAAUCUAAUCAAUCAGCUAUUUACCAAACAGUUUUACGAAAAAUAACUAAUUCAAUCCACUAGUCAAAACAUCUAAUUCAAUCAGCUAGUCAAAACAGCUAAUUCGGUCCGCUAACAGCUAACCGCUAACCCCCAAACAAGAUCUAUGUAUUCUGGCUACGCCCCUGAGUACCACAUCAUCCUUUGAUGAGCAAUCUCAUUAAUGGAUAUUAUCAUUGAGUAUUUUAUCUGUUGAUAAGCUAUAUUAUAAAAUAAAAUACAACCUUGAAUUAUACAAAGUAUUUUAAUACAUCAUCAAGUCACAUGUCCCUAAUAGAGCUGUAAUUCGAGUCGGGCGGCUCGCGAGCUCGCCCGGCUCGAAGUCGUUUAAGUGGGCUCGACUCGACUCGUGAAAUUAAACGAGCCGAGUUCGGGUAGAGGUUUGGGCUCGAUUAAAUGUAAAAUUAUACGAGCUGGCUCGACUCGACUCGUGAAAUUAACCGAGUCGAGUUCGGGCAAAGAUUUAUGCUCGAUUAGUUACUCGAGCCGAGCCGGCUCGAUUAGUUACUCGAGCCGAGCCGGCUCGACUCGAUUAAACUUGGCUCGAAUUAGGCUCGGCUCGAAACUCGCCCGGCUCGACUCGAAUUACAGCCCUGGUCCCUAACAAUCUCCCCCUAUUUAUUUCUGAUAAAAUUUCAUAUAUAAAUUUGAGUGUUUGAUGAUAACAAAACACUUCAAACAGAAAAUCUCAUCAAAUAAGAGGUCGUUUGGUUAAACUUAAAAGAAGUUACUUAUUGUUUAAAGUAGAAAAGUGGAUUAUAAGUGAUAAGUAGACAUAACUUAUAAGUUUUUAAAGUGUUUGGAUAAUGUAAAUAAUAAAUGGUGAAGAUUUUGGUAAUUUAAAUUUAUAAGUAUAUUCAUUUUAACCAUUUAUUUAAUAAAUGAUAUUGAUAAAUGUAUAUAAUUUAUCACAUAUCUGAAAUGUAAAAAAAAUAUAUUAAAUAUGUUAAUCAAAUUGAUGAGAAGUCGGAGCUUUUUUUUCCUUUCUCUUGACUUUGUUAAAAAGUCAUACAGAAGUGAGAGAACUUUUUUACCAAACAGUCGUUUAAGAAGCUGAAACCGACUUCUAUAAAAAAAAAAAAAACGAUUUCAGUGGAUACCGAAACACCCACUAAGGGGUCGUUUGGUUGAGCUUUCUUGGUAUCAGGUAUGAGUUUUGUUCAUUCUAAACCCAUACCUUGUGUUUGGUUAAAAAAAUUCUUUCAUCAAACUCAUUACUCAAACCCACAAGGUAUGAGAUUUUCAUACCCAAGGGGGGGUGGGUAUGAAACAUGGCUUUCAGGAAUCAAAUUUUUUUCUUUUAUUUUCAAUACUAUUUUAUAUCAUUUCAUGUAAAUUAUUAAUACAAAAUGAAAUUAAUGACUCAAAGAUAUAUAAAAAUAUUAAUUUAAUGAUAUUUUUAAUUAAUUACAAUUAAUAACUCAUAAAUAUUAUAAUUCAAUCAUAUUCAUUCCAUCACUCAACCAAACACCUGAUAUCAGAAAUGAUACCUCAAACCUAUACCAGCUUAAUUCGAUUUCUCAUUUCAACCUCAUACCCUCUCUCCAACCAAACGACCUCUAAUUGAGUUUGCUUAUUUACCCAAAUAGUAUGAAAAUUUUUAGAAGUACUUCCAAAGUAAGAAGCCGGACUUCUUCCCUCCCCAAAGACCCACUAAGUUUUUUUUUUAAAAAAAAAAACUUAAAAAAUACUCCUAAUUCCUAAAUGAAGAAGAAAGGAGAUGGGCAAUAUAUACUAUGACUGGCGUGUAAGAAAGGAUUAGUGAUCCACGUCAGGAAAUACGUGUUAAUGCGUCACAGAAGGUCCACCACCACAUGUGCAGGCCAUGCCAGCUGCGAGUGUGCGCUGGUGGGGACAAAUUUCGCUUCACUCUAACGCAACUUCCGUUUUUUCCCCCACCUUUUCGCGAAAGUACUCUUUUGAUUUUAUGAAAGGCCAUAAAAAUUAAAUUAAUUUAACUUAUUUUUAUUAAUUCUAUACAAAUUUGUUUCAUAUAUAGUUUUAGUAGUAAUUCGGUAAACGAACAUUUGCAUACUUUAAUCAAUUUAGGGGAUAGCAAUAAAUUUUUUAUUGUGACUGAGAGUUGCUUGUUCUAUCUCCUUUUAAUUCUAAUCGGUCCAUCUACUUAUCCACCUCUUCUACAUGCAUUUCCUUCUAAUCCAUCUCGUCUCCAUCCUUUUUUUUCUCAUCUCAAUUCUCUCUCUCAUAGUUAUUUCAAUUCAUAACCAACGGUUUUACAUCUACAAAACAAUGUUUUCCUAAUUUAGAAUUUUUUAUCAAUAAAAAUCUUUCUUUAUUUGUUUUUUUAUCAAUAAAAUCGAGUUUUGUUCACAAAACUCGAGAAGCCCAUUUGGAUAUUUUCUUUCCCCAUUUCAUUGUGUUUAAGUUAUUAUUUGUGUGCUUGAGUGUCUCGCUUUAUGCGUGUCUCGUUUUGUGCAAUGUGUUUGUUGUGUUGAAAAUGUAUUUUACGAUAUAUUGGGAGAUCUGAAAAUCUGACAUAAAAAACGCUUUAUGCAGGUCUAUAACUGAUGUCUGGCGGGUAGAUUGUUGGGAUGCGUUUUAGACGGUAGUUAAUAUUACAUGUGCUCACUUCUCAUAAAAAAAUUGUAUUCAUGACAUGAGACCUUUAAACUCAGUUUUUACAACUGACCCCUCUGAACUUUGUAUAGUUUAUGGAACUACUGUAAUAGUCAAUUGUGAAUGUACUGUUUUUAGUGGAGAUGCAUGCUGGAUUACUCGGAAAAUUAUUAUCUUCAAUUUUAACUUUCAGAUAAGUCCGUUCUAUUUUUUUAAUUUUCUGGAAUUUUCGAAUGAAAAAAUCAAAAAUAAAAUCACUUUUUUUUAUUUUGAAUAUAUUGAAACCAAAUUUGAGAACUACCUUUUUCAAAAUCUGAAUUUUUUUGAAUGAAAAAUACCAAAAAUAAAAAUUAUUUUUUUUUGUUUCGAAUAUAUUGAAAGCAAGUGAACUAUCUUUCUUAAAAAUAAAAUCUAUCAGUAUGUUAUUGAAAAGUUGCUUUAAAUCGUUAAUUACAUGUAGAAAUUUAUUUUCAUUUUUCACUCAUGAAUUAUAAUCCAAUUUUGUAAUUUUAUAUAUUAAUAUUGAUAUUGCAUCGAGAUGUUUAUAAUAUUAAAUUUAUUUUAUAAAUAUUAAUUUUGAAUCUUUCAUAUAAACUUUAUAGACCACCGUAAAUUUAUUUAAAUUUAUAAAUAUUAAUUUUUAAUUAUUAAUAUAAUUUUUAUAGAUAAUUUCAAAGCGCAGUUUGUCACGCUAUCUCCCUCCGUGCCUCCGUUUAGCAGAUUCAUUGAACUUAGUUUCCCAUGUUCUAGUGUGAAUACGAGUUUGACGGACAGAGCUUUUAUUGUACUGAGCCGACAUAAACCAUAGUUAGGUUUAAGUUAACCCAACCCAAUACUGAGGUUAGGAGUAGAAUAGGUCCUGUUAUCAUCCUUUUACGCAAAUUUAGAAGCCAGUUAUCCCAUUUGUUUGUUUCUAUGGCGCCGCAAUUUACGAUAAAAUUGUUCCACCCCAACCCACUUGCCCACAUGAUUAUGUUCCCACUACCUACGGCUCAGAUCUGAAGAUGCCAUGUUUAAUUAAUGUCUUUUUUAACUCACUCGGCACGGGUUUCAAUGCUUAUGGGCCCACUUAUCGUGUCUCCAUUCUAAAACUACGUCCUCUACAUUUAUUAUCUCACCUGCCGCCUUUAUAACUCCCACUCCCUGUUUUCUUAUCGCUGUUAUUUGGAGCAAAAUAUACGGCGUUUAACGGUCCUUAUUAAUUUUAAAAGAUUAUAUAUUUCUCUAAAUUUGAUUUUAUACGAUGCUUUGUAUUUUCAUAUUAAUUUAAGAUUUCUAUGUAUUUUCAGCGGCAGGUAUGACCAGCGCAUGAAAAAAAUUAGAAGAAAAGCUUACUAGUGGAAGUGAAUUAAAGAUUCAUGGUUGUUUACUAAGAGCAAAUUUCUACGGAGACCACUUUUAUUGGAGACUGUGUAGAUCAUUUAUAUUCUGCAAGUGAAAUAUUGCAAAACGUAUAAUUUUGCACAUCAUGUUGUACAAAAUUAUUAUUUCAUUUUAAAAUCUUGAAUAUCAUAUAAGUUUCGCAUGUAGAACAUUACAAAAUGUUAUAUUCUACGAAAUAUAUUUAGUUUGCAGGACAUUGUUCAACUUGCAGAACAUACAUUAUAUACUUAUGAAACAUAGAUGAUCUUCAACAAUUUUAAUGAAUACAUGAUAUUUGUACAACAUACUUCACAAAAUAAUGUAUUUUAUAGUGUUUUGAUUGCAGAACAUAAGUGGUCUCUAUGGUCUCCGAUAAAAAUAGUUCCCAUGGAACUUUACUCUGUUUACUAAUAUUCUUACUCAAAUAGCAGUUUUAGUUGUGUUCAGUUUUAGAUAUUUAUACCUUUAGAAAUUAAUAGUUCAUAUUAUAGAUAAAUAAUAAUUCAAAAUAAUAAUGUUUUAUAUUGAAAUAGAAAUUGAUAAAUAUUGUCGAAAUUAGAUCUGAUUUUGACAGUCAUUCGUUCAUUAGAGCAACUCCAACAGUGAUCCGAAAAUUAUGAGAUAUUGUUACCUCCAAAAGUGAACUCAAAGGUGAUGCAAAAUUAGAUUAGUGAAUGAUAUUGAAACAAUUCCGGAUCCCUAUUAUUCACACAUCAAAUUUUUUUGGGUAUUAUAACAUUUUUAAUUUUUAUUAUAUGUUUUUGUUUUUUUUUUAACGUAGGAACCCGCAGCCGCUACCCUUUUGGUGCGCACUGGGUAAACCCACGAGCUCACGUAAUAUUAUUAUAUGUGUUUUUGUUAAUAUUAUUAGAGAAAAUUAAUUAGGCCUAGAAUAUAAUUAAAACGACAAUUAAUCAUAAUUUUUUUAAAAUACAUAAAAAUUUUAGAGUACAUGAAUAUUAAAAAUAUGAAACAAAAUAACACAACAUGUAUUAUUUAACGAUAUUACAGUUUUAAAUAAAAAUUGAAUUAUUGAAGAUAAAUAUGUCCAUUUUGAUUUGGGAAGAAUAUAAUGAAUUUGAAACUUAGUAUUUUUAUGCAAUAUUUUAAUACGUUUAAUCCUUUUUUAUGUAUCAUUUUAUUUUUUUCAAAUUAUUUUGUAACAUCUUAUCUUUGUAUAGUUGCUGGUGUUAUUAUUAUAACUAAUAAUGAAAUUAGUUUAUUUAAAAAAUUAUAAGAAUAUAAUAGUAUUGAAUGAAUUUAAAUUUAUUUUGUACAUAUGAUUGGCAUAUAAUUUGGAUCCCGCCUUAAAUUGAGAUAAUUUUGGAUAUGUGAUCGUAGUUUGCCUUAGAGUAAGUUGAGCAAUGUCGCACCGGGUAAACUUAUGAGUUCACGCAAUAGGCUGCAAACUACGUGAAACAAGAUAAACCAUACUUAAGCGACAUGCUAUGGUCCAGGAGGCAUAAUCACAAAUUCUCCUCUAUUUGAUAGUCGAACUUGUGAUCAAGAGAAUAAGAGGAUACAAGUCUCCUCUUUAACCAGCUAAAUCCUCUAUUUGAGAGUCGAACAUGUGAUCAAAAGGAUAUGAGCAUACAAGCCACCUCUUUAACCAGUUAAACUAACCCUUGCGAAUGUAAUGUCCUAAUUUGAUGUCUUAUAACAAAAUUUAAGAUAUUUGAAGCAAACGAGUGCUCCGCAUCCAACAAUGUCCUCAUUCCUCGUGCUACCAUGAUAUUCCACAAAUGCAUUAUCUCUGAGACACCACUAUACUUAUCAUAAACCAACUCUAUCAACAAAAAAUUACCUUCUUACUAUUCCAAUACAUCUCCCCUUUUAAUUUCCCUCACUUACUAGGGUAUUGUUAGACUUGCUCUAAUGUCUCAUCCAUAUUUGAGUAUUAUUUUAUUUUAUUACCCAAAUAAAGUAUUGGUCAUUUAUAUUUGAAGUGGAUUGCCGAACAAUAAGGAAAUAUUUCCCCACUUUCUGCCCUCAGUUAUUUUCAAUCCUCACUCACUCAAAAUUUUAUUAUUAAGAAUUAUUAAUUUAUAAAUAAAUAAUUGAAAACGAUGGAAUUUGAACCGAGGUAUCAAUAAUUUAUCAUUCCCGAAUCCCGGCGACCACAAAUUCACCAAAGCGGCAAAACGUAACUCGUGUUCAACAUUUGAAUCAUUGAAUGAGUGAGGGGAAUUGUGUGCCAAAUUGCUAUAGUAUGUGAAACCGAACCUUUCGUCUUAGCUUAAACUUUGUGGAGAGAAAUAAUGGAGUGAUACUGUGAUUGUAAUAUUGCAAGAAGUCAAGGAAGUUAUGGUCCACACGGAGCAACAACUUGACUCAUAUUCGUUCAUUCAUUUGGAAAGAUAUUUUAUUUCUCAACGAUAGCGUGGUCCUUGUUCCUCACCCACAGGCCUCAGCCUUUGCAUGUGUGCCUCUUAAUGAUUUGUCCCGGUAGAUAAUCCACCUAGUGUCCACACGGAGAAAAGUAAAGAGUUUAGGGUAAGUUUUGAUUAAGGAUUGCAAGUGAGAACCGGAAAUAAAAAUGAGAUUUAUAUAAAAUUCUAGAAAUGAAAAAGGUAUAGACCCAGUUUGGGAAUUAGCUGUUAGCCGAUUGAAUUAAAUGUUUUGACUAGCCGAUUGAAAUAGAUGUUUUAACUAGCGGUUUCGUGUAAAAUUGCUUGGUAAAUAGCUGUUUAUUAGUUUUUUUAUGACACAUAUCAAAAUCGCUAACCCAAAAAACUCCUCAAAGUAGCUUUUUGAAAAUUAGUCUUUUAAGGCCAAGCUUCUAUUUCAAUCCGCUAAUUAUCAAACACUAUCAUUAGUGGAUUGGAAUGGUCAAACCUCUAACUCACCCCAAACAUCUAAUUUUUUCCCAAAACCGCUAACUUUGAAACAUGACCAUAAUUUAUAAUAGCACUGAUUUUCAUAUCAUAUAGUUAGAUAAGUAAUCAAAAUGCGAUGCAGUGAAAUUUCCGUUAACCAAAAUCACUAAUUAUGAACGAAAUACUCAUAAUAAUUACUUUUUAUUUAUUUAAAAUAUAACUAGAUCAAGCAUAAGUGUGUAGAGUAAUGUAUAAGAACUUUUGUAAAAAUGUCAAACCUAAUCGUGGCCAGCAAUAAUCAUAAUUCAACCACAAAAAUUAAUAGCGUUGCUGAUUGUAUUACUCCCUCCGUCUCAAUUUAUAGGUCCAUUUUGAAAAGAAAAUUGUCCCAAAAUACUUGUCCCUCUCUUCUUUCAAUACAAAUUUAUCUACAUAUUAAUUGUGAUUUUUUUGAAACUCAACAUUAUUCUCAUUUCUCAAUGCACUAAAUCCUUAUAUUUAUUGUGGUUUUUUUUGAAACUCAACUAUAUUCUCACUUAUAAAUGCACUAAUUAAUGAUACAUGAGAUAAGAUUCUAUAUAAACAACUUUUUUCUUAAUAUGUGUGUUUAUUCCAAAAUGGACCUAUAAAUUGAGACGGAUUGUUAGACUUGCUCUAAUGUCUCAUCCAUAUUUGAGUAUUAUUUUAUUUUAUUACCCAAAUAAAGUAUUGGUCAUUUAUAUUUGAAGUGGAUUGCCGAACAAUAAGGAAAUAUUUCCCCACUUUCUGCCCUCAGUUAUUUUCAAUCCUCACUCACUCAAAAUUUUAUUAUUAAGAAUUAUUAAUUUAUAAAUAAAUAAUUGAAAACGAUGGAAUUUGAACCGAGGUAUCAAUAAUUUAUCAUUCCCGAAUCCCGGCGACCACAAAUUCACCAAAGCGGCAAAACGUAACUCGUGUUCAACAUUUGAAUCAUUGAAUGAGUGAGGGGAAUUGUGUGCCAAAUUGCUAUAGUAUGUGAAACCGAACCUUUCGUCUUAGCUUAAACUUUGUGGAGAGAAAUAAUGGAGUGAUACUGUGAUUGUAAUAUUGCAAGAAGUCAAGGAAGUUAUGGUCCACACGGAGCAACAACUUGACUCAUAUUCGUUCAUUCAUUUGGAAAGAUAUUUUAUUUCUCAACGAUAGCGUGGUCCUUGUUCCUCACCCACAGGCCUCAGCCUUUGCAUGUGUGCCUCUUAAUGAUUUGUCCCGGUAGAUAAUCCACCUAGUGUCCACACGGAGAAAAGUAAAGAGUUUAGGGUAAGUUUUGAUUAAGGAUUGCAAGUGAGAACCGGAAAUAAAAAUGAGAUUUAUAUAAAAUUCUAGAAAUGAAAAAGGUAUAGACCCAGUUUGGGAAUUAGCUGUUAGCCGAUUGAAUUAAAUGUUUUGACUAGCCGAUUGAAAUAGAUGUUUUAACUAGCGGUUUCGUGUAAAAUUGCUUGGUAAAUAGCUGUUUAUUAGUUUUUUUAUGACACAUAUCAAAAUCGCUAACCCAAAAAACUCCUCAAAGUAGCUUUUUGAAAAUUAGUCUUUUAAGGCCAAGCUUCUAUUUCAAUCCGCUAAUUAUCAAACACUAUCAUUAGUGGAUUGGAAUGGUCAAACCUCUAACUCACCCCAAACAUCUAAUUUUUUCCCAAAACCGCUAACUUUGAAACAUGACCAUAAUUUAUAAUAGCACUGAUUUUCAUAUCAUAUAGUUAGAUAAGUAAUCAAAAUGCGAUGCAGUGAAAUUUCCGUUAACCAAAAUCACUAAUUAUGAACGAAAUACUCAUAAUAAUUACUUUUUAUUUAUUUAAAAUAUAACUAGAUCAAGCAUAAGUGUGUAGAGUAAUGUAUAAGAACUUUUGUAAAAAUGUCAAACCUAAUCGUGGCCAGCAAUAAUCAUAAUUCAACCACAAAAAUUAAUAGCGUUGCUGAUUGUAUUACUCCCUCCGUCUCAAUUUAUAGGUCCAUUUUGAAAAGAAAAUUGUCCCAAAAUACUUGUCCCUCUCUUCUUUCAAUACAAAUUUAUCUACAUAUUAAUUGUGAUUUUUUUGAAACUCAACAUUAUUCUCAUUUCUCAAUGCACUAAAUCCUUAUAUUUAUUGUGGUUUUUUUUGAAACUCAACUAUAUUCUCACUUAUAAAUGCACUAAUUAAUGAUACAUGAGAUAAGAUUCUAUAUAAACAACUUUUUUCUUAAUAUGUGUGUUUAUUCCAAAAUGGACCUAUAAAUUGAGACGAAGGGAGUAUUUCCUAAUUACCCCUGACACGUGUCCAUCCUACCGGUCACUAACUGACACCUGCCAUGAAAAUCUAACUAUCCCAGUACGUGUCACAUUACAAUUGGCCAGCAGUCAAACGUGACGGAGAGUAACUGUGAAGCAAAGAAAAGAAGUGGGCAGAGAGAGAAAUAAUUUUAAAAAUAUGUGAAAAAUGGCCCAUUUGGCCUUUAAAUAGAGAAGCGUAAGUUCACAUAUUGGCAGAGUGAAAAAAAUCAAAAGCGAGGUCACCUAAAAUUUGAGUGUUUAGUUUACAUAAUCCCCCCCUUCUCUCUAUAUUCCCCUCUUCUUGGAUCCCUUUCUGUAAUAGUCUGUCUUUCAACUUAUAUAAUUUUUCUGGGUUUGUUUUCUUGAUUUUUGACUGAUUUUUCACCAAAAAAUUUGAAGAACCAAGCUCAUAAUUGUGUGUUUUUUGAAAGCCAGGUGUUUCAGAAUAGUGAUCACUAGUUUUUACUUAAUUUCAGCACAAAUCUCUCCCAGGGUGUGUUUUUCAAUAUCCCUCAGAUUUGUAUCUUCUCUUACAAUCCCUGUUUCUUAAUUUUUACAAGAAACCAGGUUCUUUUAUUAUCUGUAUCUUCUACUUGUAUUUGUGUGUUUUUCAGGUUGAUUUGUAGAAAUGAUGACAGGUGUAGAUUUUGAUUUGUACAAUAGUUGUACAAGCAGUCCAAGUAGUUACUCAGAUCCUUGUAGUGAAGAGCUGAUGAAAGCACUUGAACCUUUUAUGAAAAGUGCUUCUUCAACAGACACUUCUUCUUCUAUCUCUUCUCUUUCUCCUAGUCCUACUAGUAAUUUCUACUACCCUUUUGACUCUUCUUUCUCUACCCAGCCCCCUACUUUCCCGGUUUACAGCCCACCCGAAUCCACAACCCAAAUGUUUUCCACCGGGUUUUCGGGUUUUGCCCAUAUGGGUAUGGACCAGACAGGUUCUCUUGGGCUUAACCAAAUCACCCCAUCUCAGAUCCUCCAGAUCCAAGCUCAGAUCCAGCUCCAAAACCAACAGAACUACUAUUCUUCCAUUUCUUCUCUACCACCACAGCCCCAAAGAUCUUCCAACUUUCUUGGGCCUAAGCCUGUCCAGAUGAAACACACGGGAAGCCCAACAAAGCCCACAAAACUUUACAGGGGUGUUAGGCAAAGGCACUGGGGCAAAUGGGUCGCUGAGAUCCGUUUACCCAAGAACAGGACCCGGCUUUGGUUAGGCACUUUUGACACAGCUGAAGAAGCUGCUUUAGCUUAUGAUAGAGCGGCUUAUAAGCUGAGAGGUGAUUUCGCUAGGCUUAAUUUUCCACACUUAAAGUUAGAUCAAGAGCUAUCGACUUUUAAGCCAUUGCAUUCGACUGUUGAUGCUAAACUUCAAGCCAUUUGCCAAAACUUGAACAAAGAGCCCAAACAGAAGAGUGCAAAGAAGCCCAAAACUUCUAAGCCAGCUUUUGUCAAAGUGGAGGAAGCUUCCAACGGGUCGGAUCUUUCCGGCGGGUCAUCACCCGAAUCCGAAAUCUCGUUCCUGGAUUUUUCAGAGCCUUGUUUUGACGAGUCUGAGAAUUUCAUGCUGCAGAAGUUCCCUUCAGUGGAGAUUGAUUGGGAGGCGCUGACGUCAUCCCUGAUGUCAUAAUAAAUUUAUGUAUCUUUUUUUUCUUUAUAGGUGUAGUAUUGUAGCCUCUGAAAUGGUUUUUUUGACAUUUACAGAGGCGAGUCAUGCAGUCGUAGAAUAGGUUUAAGUUUGUGAAUUUUGUAUAUGUAAUUAUGUAAGGUAUAUUUUUAUAUGUACCUUGUAUAAUGGCCUGCUAGUAAUUUUUGUCUAGUAUUGGCCGAGGGAGAUGUCCUAACUAUGUUUUAAUGUAUUCCUAGUUUAUAAUCGUGUUGUUUAAAUAUGCUUUAUGUAUUUGCUUAACCCAUUUUUACCGUUUCUGUUUAAUGCUUUGGCUACUUUGGAAGAUUGGCAAGCAACAUGAUUCUUGAACUAAAUAAAAGAAAAAAAAUUAACUAAAUUAGGCAUGGUUUUCAACUUAGGUAAGCAGCUCAGUACUUGAUUAAUUAAUCUCUACAUCUUUUCUGCAAGUUUGGUAGAUUAACAUAGGUAACUUAGCAUAGAGGAAAAUUUGAAUAUUUUGGGGGUGUUUGCGGGUUUAAAAGUCUGAUUUUUAGAUUUAUAAGUUAAAAUCAUUUAUUCGUAUUUUUCCUAAAAAAUUAGGAAGUAAUUAUAAAAAUUUAAGAAUUUUUGUUUCAUGACUUCUAUUUUUUUUCCAAAUAUUUAAUCACUUAUAAUAUUAACUUGCUUCUAACAUUUGUUUCAUUUUUCUAUUUUAAAUUAGAAACAUUUAUUUUAAAUUCAGUUCAACAAUCUUUUUUCUAAAUAACAAAUUUAAGGUGGCCUUUAUAUCUGACAAAAAAAAAAAAAGAUGGCCAUUAUAUGUAUAUUAUGCAUCAGAUUAUAAUUUAAAUUUAUGUAUCAAAAUUUGUAUAAAACCUUUUAUCAAAGAAUGUCAUAAUAAUUCUAUCCCUGCUUCUUCUUAAUUUAUUUUCGUUUGUUACAUGAUCUAAUAGCAAUGAUGGAGGUCCAUAAUCAUAUACUCCCUCCGUCCCCCUCAAUUGUUUACAUUGGAGGGGGACACGGAGACCAUGUAUGGAAAAUGAGUAAAGUUAGAUGAAAAAUGGGUAAAGUGGUGGGACCUAUCAAUAUUUAAUUAUAGAUAAGUGGUGGGACCUAUCAAUAUUUAAUUAUAGAUUUGAGAUAGUGGAGGAAAGUAGUGGGUGCAAUAGUAGUUUUUAUUGUUAAAUAUGAGAUAGUGGGGGAAAAUAGUGGGUGUAAUGAUGAGAAAAACUUACUAUUUAUAGUAACGUAAAGAAAUGAGAGGGACAUCCAAAAUAGUAACUGUAAAGAAAUCAGAGGGACAGAGGGAGUAUUAACCUGUAGGAACGACACUUACAAGAAAAACAAAAAACUGAGUGAUUUAAUUAAAAAAACAUGUAGAUCAGUAGAUCCAUCCAGCUUUUAUCAAAAAAAAAAGUAGAUCCAUCCAGCUGUUGGCGUUGCACUUUCGUUUUCCAUGUAGUAGUACUUGUUAAUACAUCAAACGAGGAGCACCAUUUUUGCACGCAACAAAGACCACGAUUGUUGAAAAAUCAGACCCAACCCCCUUUCUGAAUAGACCUGUAUAAUCGACACAACGUGUACCGGGAGUCACUCCGUUUGAAAUAUAGGUUGUUUUACUUUUUUGCACGCAUUUUUAAGUGUUUUGGCUGCAUGCUAAAAAUUAUUAUUUUUUUUAAAAAAAAGUUUUGAAUAAAAAUAUGAUAAAAAUAUGAGAUAUAUAUUUUUAUUUUAAAAAGAAUAUUUCAAAAGUAAUAGUUUUUAACAUGCGGUCAAAGAACUUAAAAAUACAUGCAGAAAAAUCAAGCGACCUAUAUUCCAAAAUAGUGGGAGUAUAACUUAAUUUUACGUGAGUCUGCCCCUUGUAAAUUUGUAAUAUAGGAAACCUAGUUUAAUCACUUGUCAAUUAGCGAUGCCUUUAAACUGCAGAUUACAGUUUUAAGAGGAGUGAAAGCAAAGAAUUUGAUUCUGUAUUUGCGGGUCAGUCCUAGUCCAUUUGAUUGAGAUUAGUGAAAGCAAAGUAAAGCAAUUCGCUAAUUCAAAGUUUACAAUUCUUCCCCGAAAGCAAAGUAACGAGAAAUCUCUAAUUCAAAUUUUACAUAUAAGGCUGCACAAGUAGUAGGUAAUAAAAAUCGGAAGUUAAUCGAAUCGGGUAAUUUUAGUUAAGCUAUAUUUAAAACUUGCUAACUCGUGAUGAAUCUAGUAAAUUUUUUGUUAAAAAAAAUAAUUUAUUAAAAUAAAUAUUUAUAUAUUUUUAUAAUAUUUAUCAAUUAUAUCUAUUUUCCGGUUUUUAUCAAAAAAAUUAUCCGGAAGACAAUUUCAUUUAGAGAAUAUUUAUAUAUGUAUUAUAAUUGUUAUUUGUAACAUCAACUAUUCUACUGUAUUAUGCAAGUUAAGAAUUUUAUCUAGUGAAAAUACUUUCGAUGAUAAAAAAUUCAUUAUGACGUUUAAAUUAGCUUUGCUUGGGUUGGGUACGUGGUUCAUACCUGGGCUGUAAGGUGUCGGAGUCUGUAUUAACAGGCUUUUGGAGUAUUUAAUACGGAGAACCAAAUGCAUUAGGAGGCCCAGUUAUAUACUUGUAUUAUAAAUUCAACCUUUCCCCGAUUCAUAAGGUAUGAAGCACCUACGGAAAAUCCCACAUGACAUUUUCUUUUUACGAAAAGCGAAUAAUUUAGUAAAUUAUCAAAACGAUUUAUAUAGCUGUUUUGUUUUCUGAUCGUUUAACAUAUUUAAAUUAUUUAAUCUAAAAAAUAUUACAGUCAAAUCUAAAACAAUCCAACCUACAUCAGUUUUGAACAUAAUUGCAUCACACCUGACCUUCACAUAAGCAUCAUCUGUAGUCCAAUAUUCAGAAUUAUCAGUUAUAUUAAAUAAUAUUAGAUGAGUAAAUGACCCCAAAAAUAUGAACAAUUUUUUAUGAUGAAAUAUGAGCUUUUACGAUAUUAACCACCAUGCAAACUUUAUGGAUUAUCCAAAAUACUAUGUAAAUCCUUGCUAAAAACGUUAUAAAACCCAUAACAAAACACACAAAAAUAUCAAAAUAAACAUAAACAUCCCAAAAGAUGAAUACAACUAAUAAAAUCUAGAAGAUAAGGUUCUCGACAAGAGCUCACCAAAAAGGGUUAGAUCUUAAUUUUAUUAACAAAACUGAUAAUCCUAAAUAACAUUUUAAUCUUAUUGCUAUUAUCUUCCACUCAUUUGUUUAUAUAUUUCUUUUCAUUAUUUGACACGUAUUUUAAGACUUCGAUUAAGCAUUGUUUCGUAAUUUUUUUAAAAUUUUUUCUUUUAUGAAUACAAAUUUAAACAUCAUUAUUUUAUUCAAAAUAAAUAAAAUAAAAUAAUAUAAAAAAUUGGUGGAUGGAACUAUACUUAAUCAUAGUCUUUAAAUACGUGUUGAAUCCCUUUCCUCCGUGCAAAGAAGCUGGUGGGCGGAGAGAGUACCUUAAAAAAAAUAAAUUAAAUUACUAAUAGUCGUGGCAAAAAAAGAUAAAAUGAAUACCAGAUACUAAAUUCUGUUUUGGUAACACAAUGUUGCGAAUUAUAUACUUAGGUGGUAAUAUAUUCUAAAUGAAAAAUGUUUGUUGUCUAAAAAAUCAGCCGAAAAUUAUUCUCAGAUACUAGCAAAAAUAUAUUCUCAAAUACUGACGUGGGAUAAUAAAGAUGGUAACAUUCCUGACAACUAUAUCAGACCGGCUGCGCAUAUACAUUCAUCCCUGAAUAUAUGCCCCUUGUGUUUCAUAUUAUUGAAAAAUUUAAACAAAUUUUAAAUACUUAGCAAUGCUCAUCACAAAUUUAUAAUUAUAUUUAGAAUCCAUUUGAAAACAUGCAUUUCAUUUCAAAUGAUGAAUUUUAAAUGAUAGGAUUUGAGUUGUCAUUUCAAAUUCUCAACUUUAUACUAAUAUUUGAAUGUGCAGAUUUCAAUUGAAAUUCAAAUUCAAAUUUUCAAAUAAAUUAUUUGAUGAAAUCCAGAAUUUCAGUCCCCAGAAUUUGCGCGAAGUUGUUUCUUGAUUGUGGUUGCGGAAACACCAAGGGGCGGUAUAUGGCCCAAUUAGCCCCAUAUGGCUUGUGCUAUACCAACCCAAAAACAUUGUUGCCAGACUAACGGCCCGUCACCUAGUCGUUGUAUAAUUAACGUUGAUUUCAUAUUAUAAUGCACAGUCAAGUAACAAUAAAAUCUACGAAUGAAGAAUCAAAGCGCUACAGCCAGAAGCAUAUAUAAACAAAAAAAACUUUAUACGUCCACCCUAGCUAAUUAUGCAAUAAAGAAUUUAUACCAAAGCUUUUAAGAUUUAGAGGAUAAAAGGAUAUAGCAAAAGCAACUGCAAAUUGCGCACUAAUUAAACAAAAGUACAAUAAAAUAAUACAUUUGAGAGAUCGUAUAAAUCUGAUUUGGUGGCAUUAAAUAUCAAAUAUACUCGAAUGUUAUCGCGUGCAUAUAUUUAUUGUAGCAUUCGAUGUGAUGCACACACGUAUGGGUGAAGAAUGUCGGUGCAUCCCCCAUACCGGGAUAACAAAACCAGAGCAACUAGCUGAUUCAAUAUUAUAAUGAAUCUGCCGAGUCCACUCUCGGCAACAUGCUAGUAUUGAAUUUAGUAAAAAAACAAACAAAAAAGAAACAUGCUAGUAUUGAUCUGCUAACCCUAAGUUUCUGAUACCACAAUUAUGUUAUCUCUGCCCCCUUAUAACUUGCCCCUUUGCAAUGUCUAAAAGAUCUUGUUCUGUUCCAUUCUUCUUUUUUCACGGAUAUACUCUACACCCUUAUUCCUUGAUGCCCGCGGCUAUAAUAAAUCGCAGUUGAGAGUUUUUCGAGAAUUGAUAACUUAUAAUAAUAUCACAGUUAGUCGGGUCUCGAGCAUAAUAAAUAAGUUUGAGUGUUUUUCAAGAAUUGAUAACUUAAAAUGAUAUCAGAGCUAGUCGGGUUUUAAGGGUUUUAAGCACAUGCUCCCAAGCAGUGUGUGCAUACACACGUAUACAUGUGGUGUGUGCAUGAAUCCCACAUGCAUGUGCUUGUAUAGUUUUUCGUUUAAUCAGCUAUAUAGUUUGUUGGUUGAGCAAUAAGCUGGAAGUGUAUGUCCCAGAAAAGUAAAUAAAUGACUCGGCGAUGAGUAAUGUAUAUGUGGAAAACUAUUAUCAUAACAGCUUCCAAACUAACAUAACAUCAAAUCAACUUUCACUACUAUAGACAUGUGCGGCUGUCUUUUGUGCGUUUAUCUGCCAGUUUUGAUUCUCGAAUUUCCUGCCAUCGUAUCAUUCCGACCGGAAAUGGACCUCAAAACCGACCGAUUUUGUUCAUUUCCGACCGAUUUUGGCGGUCGAAAAUGCCCGCUUUUUUUGUAGUGUUCGAAAGAUGAAACGAAAAUUGUUCAAGACCUCUUAUAAAGAGGUAAGUAAAAUUAUACUAAUCCUAUGUCGUUGAAAAUAAAUUUAUCAUUCAACGUGUAAUUGAUGCUAUGUCGGCAAUGUUGUUAUUCUCGAAUCCCUUACAAUGAAUAUGAUUCAAAUUAUGAAGAAUUUUGUCGUGAUAUAUAGAUAAUUAGAGUAGUAGAUAGUGGUUAGCGUUCUAGCUUUUCAACGUCUGUAUAUAUAUAUAUUCUCAUUUAACUGAUUAAAGGAAUAUAUUUCAUAUGCAUAUUCGUUUAGAUUAGAGAAUUGGGUUAAAUUCUCUCAUUGUUAGCCAUCAUUUCAAUAAUGAUAAAAAUAUUCAAAGUAAUAAGAAAAACCAAUCAAGUCUUAGAAAAAUCUACUCAAAUUACGACGGGCAUCAAUCAUCCCAGUCAUUGUGAGAAAGACUUUGUGGGGGAAUACAAACAAAUGUAAGUAACCUAGUGGAAUUAUAUAUAUACAGCUGAUAAAUCUUGAAAAAUGAAUAUCUUUGGCCUGGAUUUGUUCUCAUUUAUCGAUAUUAACAAUACAUUAUCUUGAGUUAAGUUCCAUGUAGUCCACAUAUUUACUGUAGUACCGUAGACCACGCAUGUUCUGCAACUAUAGAAUGACAUAAAAACAUUGCAAAAUGUAUGAAACUUGUUAUUUUGUGAAAUACAUUCUAUAAAUAUCACUAUUUCAUGAAAAAUAUUGAAAAUGCUCGACAAGUAGAACACAUAUGUUCUGUAAUAUGUAAAUAUGUUCUGCAAACUUAACAUGUUUUGCAGAAUAAUGUGUUUUUCACUAUUUAACUUGUCGAAUGUUUAGGAUUGUCAAAAUUUUUAACAAAAUAAUUAUGUUUAUAGAACAUGAUUUGCAAAAUAACACAUUUUGCCAUGUUUUUAUGCUAUUCUAUUGUUGUAGAACAUACGUGGUCUACGGUACUACAAUAAAUAUGUGGACUACACAGAACUUUGUUCACAUUAUCUUAGUUAUAUAAAGAAUAAAGAAAAUUAUAUAUAUAUAAUCAUUUCAUUGGUGCUAUAACUGAAUUUACAUAACUGAAAUUAAAAUAAAAAAAAAGACGCGCAGAGACAGAAAUGGAAUAAUAAGUUUUGUUUGUAUUAUGAAAAGUUGGGAAGCAGAGGAGGCGAUAAUUAUAUGAACCAGUGAACUUCAACUAUGGUGGAUGGUGGUCCAUUAUCGACCCCAUGAAUUGAAUAUUCUUAACUUUUACUCCCUCCGUCCCUAUUUAUCUGUCCACUUUGGAAGUAAAAAUUUGUCCCUAUUUAUCUGUCCAUUUAUACUUUCAAAACUAAUUUAAUGAUAGUUUUUCAAAUAUAUCUCUAUAAUUUCAAUUUUCAAGGCUUGACUUAUUUAAAACUUGGUUGAAUUCAUGUUUUCAAGACAUAAAAGUAGGGGUAUUCCACCAUUUUCAAGAUAUUAAUUAGAGGUAUUUAAUAAAAAAGUUUAUACAAUCAAUUAUUCCUUGGUAUGUGUUUUUUUUCCCAAAAUGGACAGAUAAAAAGGGACGGAGGGAGUAGUAUUUAUAAAAGAAUAAUAAUCUUGUUUGAUUCCAAACACAAAACUUGACAUGAAUGUAAUUACUAAGCAAACAAUAAAGCAUACAUUUAAUUAGAUUAACAAACAUAUAUUUUUAUUUUAAUUAAUGCUCAAAUAGCUUGUGAUUUCAGUGUUUGAAUGAUUGAAAAUAAAGAAUAUUAUCUUAAUAUAUCUGAGCAAAAAGACGUUUUAUCUAUAGAGUAAAGCAUAGAGAUAAAUGAGAUGGAUGGAGAAUUGGAGAUAAUGAGCGAGGGAAGGAAGAAGAGGAGAAGAAAAUGGAAAGAGUAGGUGGGCUAGGCAGUGGGGAAGAAAUGAUAAGGACUGAAUCAGACAAAUCAUACAUCAAUCAUUCUAUAUUGCAAACAGGGUCGAUCACUGCAUAGCGAUUGAUAGAUUUUAUUAAGGAGUAAAUAGCAUGGACCAUGCCAUGCGUCUCUAUUUCAGUAUGACAUUUCACAUCGGAUGGAAUGUCUCUUGGCCAGCCAGAAAUAUGUCAAUGAAUGCGAGAAUUUGAGGAAAUAUAAAUUAGCUGAUGAGUGAUGGCGGUUGGGAUUAUAGUUAGUAUUUCGGGAUUUUAGUUAGUGUUUGAAGUCUUUAUAGUUAAUUUUGCCUUUGUUGGAAAAUUUAUUUUCGGUCAUUUUUUUGUUUUUCUCUUUUUUUCUUCUUCGAUGUGGUUAAUCUAGGAAGGGCUUAGACGACUAGAAUAGUCUACCAGGACGGAUGUCUAGUGAUGUUGAGUUCGGAGAUGACAUAGUUUACUACAUAUUUCUACGUAGUUGUUUUUUAUGAUGUAGGAUAAUGAGGCUGAUUCGUGGAUUCUUAUUAUUGAAUAAGUGAGAUCAUGUGGAUUUCAUGGUUCAUGAAUGUCUUGUUAUUAAAUAUUUGAGGUCAAAUGGAUUUCACGGUGUGAUUGGGGUCCAAAAAUUCCAAGAUUAUAGCCUUUUGAUUUUAAAAUAGGAGGGAUCAGGGUUAUAACACCAAAGAGCAAACCUAAUGUGAGAGUCAUCACGGGGUUUCAAACUUGUUUGUGAUCUCAAUUUAAUAUAUUCUUUAGGAGUUUACAACGAGCAAAUAUGAGUAGUACAAGGCCAGAUAAAAAUAUAAUCACAUUCUAAAUCAGCAAUUCAAAACUCGAGGAAAAAUUCGACAAAUUAUAACAGUCGUACAAAUAACAAAAAAUCACCGUGAAUUACAUCACAAACCCAUUGCCUCACAUAGGAUCUUAACAAAGUUUAUAAUAAACUCAUGGCAUUGUGCAUAAGUCUAAACUUGAGAAAAAGUUGACGAAGAGAAUAGAGAUGGUUGAUCAAAAUUAAGCAAGAACAUGCGUGCAUAAUGUUUCUCAACAGCUAACCAAUCUAUAAAAACAACAUGAUCAAUGGAGAGCACAGUGCACAGUAGGUAUAUAGAUAAAUAUAUCUGGAAAGAUGAAAAGUAGGCAGGUGAGUUGCAGCCCAAUCACAAGCGGAUCAAAAGAUGGACACAGAUAGCUAGCUAGUGGACCAGUUGCCAAGUGGGGAUUUCGUUGUUUUGCUAUCUCUUACCCUUUGCAUGUUUCUACUUUCCACCAACACUUUGUCCAUCUUCUUUUUCGAUAUAUAUACUUAUUUCAAUUUUUAAUAUUUAAACAUUGAUUUAAUUUAUAAGUUAAAAUUGAUAUUAUUUUUUACUUCAGAAUGAGUGAAAAUAUCGUACUCUCUCCGUCCUAGUCAUUUUUUUCAUUUUUCUUUUUGAGAUGCUCCAUCUAAUACUUACAUUUUUAAAACUUAUCAAGUAUAAUAAAUAUAAAAAUCAACUAUUUUUUUCAUUAUAUUUACUUUAUAUAUUAAAUAUCAUUCCACCGCUAUCCUCACUUUUUUUUAUGAUUUCACAUUAUUUUUACUUAUUUUCUUAAUUUUCGUGUCUAACUCAAAUGUGAACAUUUGGAUGAAACGGAGAGAGUAUAACGAGCAUUUUCUGUAAUACUUGAAUAUAUAUAUAUGUAAAGAUUUGUGGAACGCACAAUAGAUGCCCAUAGUAUAGGACUAAACCUAUACUUGCAUCAGUGUUUCGUUUAUGCAAGUGCGAUUAAUAAUGCACCCGUAUUUCCUGCAUGCGCAGUGGAACGUUCCAGAAAUGAACCAACCUUUUGAUCAAAAGAAAUAAUAAAAUUUAAAACUGAACUGGGAAGUCGUGACACGUUGAAGCCACUUUUAUCUUUUUUUGGCAAAUGUUACAAUCAAUUUUACAGCUUUGGCGUUUUUAUUGGAGCUCCAUUAACUUCUAGGGUUUGUUUAAAGUAAAGAACCGGUGCCAUUCUGGUAAUGUCAAUUGAGUAUCCACUAGGGUUCGAUCACUGACUUUGACUUGCUCAACUGAAUGAAGUCUCGCAGCAUAGUAUAAUUAAAUCAAUUAUUCCAAAGCUCUACACAACUGUCUGUCAAGUAUGGGAAAGAACAACAGUAGUUGACUUGUUUAAGCUUCAUAUACGUUUCUUUCUUGGCCCCCAAGUUGGUGCAUUGACUAGUGACUACUGUGGCAUAGGCAUAUAUGGAGAGGGAGGCGAUCCCUGACAACUGGAACGUGGAUUGACUGAUGAUCUCUUGUAUAUAUAAAAAUAUUAAUAAUUAAUAUUUUUAAUAAAAAAUGAAUUAAUUAUUAUAACAAUUAUUUAUCAGAACCCGACUAAUUAAAAGAAAAAGGAAUGAAGUUUAGUGAGUACAUGUUAGCAUGCAGUCAUGCAUGAUCAGAAUUCAGAAAGAACAUUUAUAAACUUAGUUGAUUUUUUUUUCUAAACUACAAAAAUGACCAGAAAUGAGAAGUAGAUUAAUAAUCACAAGUGAUUAAACUGUUUGGGAAAAAAGUAAAAAUCCUGAAACAAAAAUUAGUAUUAUAACAUUUUGCACAAAUCGGUCCAGAAAAAUAAAAGCCGAUUUUUUACGGGAAAAAGUCGGAAGUCCGUGUUGCCAAGCAGUCACUCGUUCUACGUGUAAGCGGAAAACUGCCUGGUGGAGAAAUGAACCCAAACGUUUACAUAUUCGAGCACGUCUAGGAGAAGGAAAACCCUAGCCUAUAAGCAUAGUCCACCACCAAUUAUACGGCAUCGAGAAAACUUAACAUAGAUCGGAUUUAUUUAAUUCAAAAUCUCAAUGUGUGGCAUAUAGAACUCUGAAACCACGGACAUAUGUGGUUGAUCUACUCACUACGUCUCUAUUUGCUUCAUUAUUGAAAUCCCUUCACCAAACGAACAUGUGAGCUUCUGUCUCUUGAUCAGUGGCUCAUUACAAGCCUGGAUAACAUUAUUCAAAUGCCCUUUAAAAUGAAUAAAUCUUUUUGAAUGAAAGUGCCUUUAUAUAUUUAUUCUGUUCUUGAGAAUCUACCCACAUAAAAUCUCACAUGACAUGCCACGUGUAAAAGAGACCCUUUGAAAAAAGGAAAGGAGAAAAAAAGAAAAAGAUCCAAACACAUGCGGUGUCGGGCAUCAAACCAAACCAAACAAGACUCCUGUUUAGUGUCCUUUGAUCCGAGUCAUUUGUAUUAUAAAGAAAGUAUGAACAAGACUACGAGAGACACGUAUAUGUACAAGGACGCACCUAGGUCUAGGGGUUGCAGUUAUAUUACUCCCUCCGUCCCAUUUUAUGUGACCUCAUUUCCUUUUUGGGACGUCCCAAAAAGAAUGAACCUAGAAUACUUACUAUUUUUGAACACUACUUUUCACUAUUACACCCACUAACUCUAUAUUUUAUACUCUUUUAUUAUUAAAUAAAUACUAUUACACCCACUACCUUCCUCUACUAUCUCAAAUUUAUUACUCCCUCCGUCCCUAUUUAUCUGCCCACUUUGGAAGUAAGAAUUUGUCCCUAUUUAUCUGUCCAUUUAUACUUUCAAAACUAAUUUAAUGAUAGUUUUUCAAAUAUAUCUCCAUAAUUUCAAUUUUCAAGGCUUGACUUAUUUAAAACUUGGUUGAAUUCAUGUUUUCAAGACAUAAAGUAGGGGUAUUCCACCAUUUUCAAGAUAUUAAUUAGAGGUAUUUAAUGAAAAAGUUCAUACAAUCAAUUAUUCCUUGGUAUGUGUUUUUUUUUCCAAAAUGGACAGAUAAAAAGGGACGGAGGGAGUAUUAAAUAUUGAUAGGUCCCACUACUUUACCCACCUUUCAACUACAUUUACUACCUUUUUCUUAAUCUCCGUGAAAGUCAAACCCAUUCACAUAAAAUGGGACGGAGGUAGUAAUUAUUAGGUAUUCUUUGGAUUCGGUAAUUGUGUGUUAUGUUUAUGUAAAAUUAUGUUGGGUCGACAGCAAACAUGUAUUCAGUAAUUAAAGUAAUCAGAACUGAUCGAACAAUAUAUACGAUUUUCAAAAAGAAGGUUUGUCUAAUUGGAUGUUACUGCAUCAGAAACAAUUAAGCUAAUCAGGACAGAUUAAACUAGAGUAUAUGAUUACUGCCAAUGUUUGCCACGCUAAAGCUGAUUAAGGUGAAGGUGGUAUGCAUGAACCUAGACAUGUUAUUUAUUAAUUAUUAUCGAUAAGUAACUCCUUCUUUGAUUGCAAAAUGUUAGAGGGAAGCUAAUGUCGUUCGAUCAACGGCAUUGAAAAAUAGAGUGUAUAAUACAUAUUUUUUUAGUAAAAAAAAUUGACUGUUUUAUCAGCGGCGGAUUAGUAAAUGUUUUAUGAGGUUGUCCGGUCAAUACAUAAUGUUUUAGUCUUUCUAAAACAAAUACUUAUAUAUUAAUUGUAGAUGCGCUUUCUUUUGUUCACGAAGUAACACUGUAUAUAAAUUUAUGGAUUUUACUUGCGAAAAUUCAGAUUUACAAAAGAUCCUUACAAGAGAAUGACUAAUUUUCACAAUAAUAUAGCGAUAAAAUCAGGUACUUAUUCGGCCGGAUUUGAUUUUACAUUUGUGUAACUUAACUUCUACUGCAGGUAAAGAGCAAUAGUGGGCCCAAUGAGAUAAAAAUAUAUCAUUUGAAUAUAACUUCAAUUAAUCUGAUAUUCAGGUGAGAGGCAUGUCGUGAAAAUUGAAGAUAAAAAAUAUAUAUUAUUACAUUUAACUAAAAUCUUGUUAAUUCUGUUAUUUUGGUAAAGUAAUAGAAUUACAAACCUAUUUCAAGAAAAAUAAAUGUUAAUUUAUUUUUAUCUGUGGUUUUGAAGGCGGCCUCAAGUACCGUCAAGUUCACCAUCUCAAUUUUUAAAUUCAGCUUUAAGUAUCCAAUUAAAAUAUUUUAUAGAUACACACACACACACAUAUAUAUAUAUAUAUAUAUAUAAAAUAUAUUGAGAAAGAAGAAGUAUAUAUUUAUAUCCAACCACUGAAAUGCCCAACACUUUUUUCUGAAUGAUCCUCAGAAGCACAUGCGGUCAAGAUAGGCAAGCUUAUUCGCAUUUAAUUUUCGAACAUAGGUUAGUUGCAGAGGAGGACAUAUCACAGCAAUUCUAUUAAUCUCUUUCACGUGUUUAUAAGUUGUUGUACAGGAAUUCGGAUUCAAUCGAAAGGUGGUGCGAAUACAUGCACGCAUGAUACACAAUAGCUAAUUUGCAAUCACGUAUUUUCAUAAAGUUACAAAAAGUUCCGAAUUAUUCAACACAGAAUAAUAAAAAAAGGUGAUGCAUGCAAACAAUUUGAACGAGCAGUCAAUGGUCUAAUGUUCUUUAACCAAAGCUUAAUGCAGGAUACAAAUUGAUCGGCUCUCGCUGCUUCCUGGUGAUUUCCUCCGAACCUAUUAGUCAUUCUCAAAAUCUUUAAAAAUUAUAUACUCUCUUUUGAUUUGUUCAAACAAGUUGGGUGAUUUGUCUCGAAAGAAUAUUAGACUUUUCACCAAGCUAGUGACGUGAUCCCUUCUUACACAUAAUUGUUUUUGUUUCGUGUUGAUUAUUGUACGUGCUUUGUGUUUUCUAGGAGAUUCAUGGGAAGAUGAACACAUAAUGUGGAAGCAAAUCAAUUGGUGAUCACAUUAGUUUAAGCCCUUAAGCUCGCUGAUUUAGGCGGAAAAAGCGUAAUUAGCGUCAACUUUAGGAAUAAACAAGGGGAUUAUAUCGUCCCUUUUCUGGAAGCAGAUGGCAUUAGUGGUGUGAAAGCAUCUGAGUUAGUAUGAUGGUCCAAAGAAUCAAUGUGUGUGAUUAGAGUGUAAUAUUUAAUUAGUGUUGCAUUAAAAUAGGGGGAUGGCUACGAGGGAUUGUAAUUACGUAUAUGCAAACGCAUGUGAAAAUUUAGGAAUGUGAUGAGUAAUGUCGUACAAGAAUCUCAUAUUUUCUGUGGUUAACAAAAUAAAAGAGGGGAAUAACUAGGGAUUCAAAUCUUCAAACGAUUCCUUCUCUUUCUUUCUCAUUAUAUUAUUCUAAUCACAAUUACUCUCCUGUCUCACCUACUUUCAACAAUCUUUACGUUCUAAACUUUAUAAUCAGCAUGCGAAUCCGCCUCCAUCCAUAAAAUACAAUGUGAGAAUAUUUAUUUUUUCCGUUUCAUCUUAUUUUAUUUAAAUUCAGAGAUUUACUUUUUAUAUACUUAAAUUAAAUAUAAAUUUUGAUGAUUUUCAAUGUAUAUUAAUGACAUAAUUUAAAAUGUAUUACAUAUAAAUGAUGAUUUUAAUGUAAUUGAAAUAAAAAUGCGGAUAAAACAAGUGGCACACUGAUUGAUAAAUUUAAACCCGUGGGCAAGAAGAGUUGAAAGAGAUGAGUGGUUAAGUGAACUAAGUUUUGAUCGGAUACAUGUAUAGACUAUACUUCUUUAUACGUAAAUUUUUUACAGAUUUGUACCAUAUAUAAUAUAGAAUUUAAAUUCCUGACAAAAAAUAAAAAAUAUAGAAAUUAAAUUCAUUGUUUAAAUAAGCGAAAUGCUGACAAAAAGAGCUGAACCAAUACCCUGAAUCGGUAAAAUUCUUUGACUAUUGUCAAACCUGAGUAUUAAAUAUAUAUAUAUAUAUUUUGGAAAAAAUGCUCACAAUUGGAAGUAAUAACGAGUCGUCAAUCAUAUGCUGCUACAUUUAAAAAUGCUCACACUUAAAAAUGCUCACACUUAUCUCACGGCAGGUUGGUCGAGUCGUCAAUCAUAUGCUGCUACAUCGGCUAAUAACGAGUCAAUGACAAGUUAAUUACAGCCCACUAUUAUUUUACGGCAUCUCCUUUUCAAACAAAUACUCCCUCCGUCUCAAUUUAUAGGUCCAUUUUGGAAUAAACACAUGUUAAGAAAAAAGUUGGUUAGAUAGAAUAUUAUCUCAUAUAUCAUUAAUUAGUGCAUUGAUAAGUGAAAAUAUAGUUGUGUUUCAAAAAAAUCACAAUAAAUAUAGGGAUUUAGUGCAUUGAGAAAUGAGAAUAAUGUUGAGUUUCAAAAAAAUCACAAUUAAUAUGUAGAUAAAUUUGUAUUGAAAUAAGAGAGUGAUAAGUAUUUUGGGACAAUUUUUUUUUCCAAAAUGGACCUAUAAAUUGAGACGGAGGGAGUACUAUUACUCCCUCCGUCCCAUUUUAACUGUUUUUGACUUUUUUACACGUAUUUUAAGAUGUUAAAAAAAUCACAUCUACACAUAAUUAUUCUUUAUAAAAUUUAUAUCAAAUAAAAGUUUAGAAUCUAUACUUUUAUUUGAUAUAAGAAUUUAAUUUUUUUAUUGGGUGUAGAUAUAAUUUUUUUACACCUCAAAAUACGUGUUAAAAAGUCAAACAUCAGUUAAAAUGGGACAGAGGGAGUAUAAAUUGGGAUUUUCUAUGGUGUGCCUAAGAGCACACACUAGUCUCUAACUCUAAUAAGAAUAGCUCCUUUUGAUUGGUGGGUAAAUAAUAAAUGUGAAUGGCCCCCCUGCAUUCACAUCAACUCCACCAAUCAAAUUAGCUCAUUUUUAUAAAAUUUAGUGUUUAUUGUGUGCCCUUGGUCACACAUUAGAAAGACGGUUAUAAAUUUUCAAUUUAUUGUAUUAAACCAGAAGCUGUAUGGUGCUAUUCAGCCAAAGGCAUAUCCAUACGAAACCAUGCACGGAUAUCUAUGCAUGGAAAAGAAAGACUGGCGAAGUAAAUGCAGGAAGAAUUAAAGAAGCCAUACUAUGUCCAUUGUGUGUGAGUGUAACAUAAAGACGAACUGUACCGGUUUUAUUACAUGUCGUUGAAUGCCUCGUCUUUCUUCCUUAUCUGACUUCACUUUUUAACCAUGUCGUCCUUUUAGGUUGACUGACGAGUAGGGUACAUGUCACGGCAGUUCUCACUGGCAUGCCUAUAGGCAUGUAUUUUACAAAAAGGCAUGCCCAAAUGGCAUGCCAUUUUCCAUUAAAUAUAGCAAAAACUGCUGCAUCAUUACAGAAUUGAUACUAAAGUGCACUUACAAAUAUAACAAAAGUUAGUAAAUAUUAAGAACCGAACUUAGUACAAUACUAACUUAUAUUAGUAGUUUAUCUAAUAUUUAACUAUGAAGUUGGACUAUAUUUAAAAUUUUCAAUAUUUAUAAGAUAUAAUAUUUAUAUAAAUUUUAUUAUUUAUAUAAAAAAUUAGUAAAAAAGCAUGCCAAAUGGACAAAAGGCAUGCCUAGGGCAUGCCCAGUCUGGCAUGCCCAAUCUGGCAUGCCCGUGCCGCUGUGACAUGAACCCUGCUGACGAGACUUUUGAACCACACUCAACACUCUGUCAUUUUUCUAUCUCUACACCGACCCUGUUAGUAAUUCAACUUCCAACCGUCCUCUCUUUCUCACUCUACUUGUUUCUCGAAGGUUGACGGGGGAGAUAAAUUUCGUUUGACCCCACUUAUAUUGACGAAUUUGCUAAAAUCAUCUCAAAUUAAUUAUUUGAAAAAAACACGAGAUAUCACAAAAUAUAUAGAGUAAGUAAUUAGAAGAAAUUGGACUCAAAUAUCAUAUACUCCUUCUGUUUUUUAAUAUUUGACGCUUUGACUUCGGACACGUACUUUUAGGUGUUUUGACCGAGUAGUUAAAAAUAUGAUUUUUAAAUUUUUUUUUUAAAUAAAAAUAUAUAAUCAAAAUUUUAAUUCAUAAAAAAAUAAUAAAAAAUUAUAAUUUUUACUACCGGGUCAACUCACCUAAAUAUGUGUGCCAAAAAUCAAAAAUUCAAAUAAUAAGAAACAGAGAGAGUUUUAAUAAUUAGACAAUAUCUCUCUAACAGUGUCCAUAAAAUCGAACUUAUAUAUAAUUAAAAUAUACAGAUUGAGUGGGUAGUAGGGCAGGAGUGACUGUUGGACAAGUUAGAAGAAAACACAAAAUGGUCCGUAUGGAGCGACUGACACGUAUUUCCAACAACUAACACGUAUGACAGUUAUCAGUCUUUUCGUUCAUGUCUUUAUGAUUCAGUUUUCUUAAAGCCUAAUCUAACGAGUUAGUUAUCUAGUCAAUUGCAAUCGACGCUGCGACCCUCUUUCGUAUCACCUCAGCUGCCGUGUCACCUUCAAAUACGAACCAUCUGCGCCGACUUGGUACGAAUCAAUGUCAUAAUUUAACCACCAAAUGUCUGUAUUGUUUUAAGUUUUAACUUAUCGAACAUCCUGUAACAUGUGACUAGUUUACGUGUAACAUAUUUAAAUGUUGCCAUUCCGCGUUCUUGGAAAUUUCACCGGCUUGGGAACUAAGAAGUGUCACUAGUUGGGUAAUUUGAACUUUUAAAUUAUACUUAUAUUUACAAUCAAAAUGAUGAAACCAUCUUACACACGGAUAUAAAUAAAUUAUUCUCAUUUUCUUUCUUUUAUUUCUUUGGCUAAUUUCGAUUUUACUCACAGUUUAAACGACUUCUUCCAUUAAUAAUUACGAUAAGAUGCAAGAUGAAUAAAUAUUAAGGUUUUGCACUUACUUUAAAAAACUUAAGAUGUUCAAAAAUUAGAUUUUCUAUUACAGUACUAUAUAAAAUCACUAUCUGGGCAAUUUGAAUUUUUAAAAUUAUAAUUAUAUUUACAGUCUAAAUUAUGAAAUCAUCUCCACAUAUCGAUAUAAUAAAUCAUUCUUUCUCUUUUUUUCCCAUUCCAUUCGUUAGUUUCAAUUUCACUCAUAAUUACGAUAAGAGGUAAGAAUUCAGGGGCGGAUCUAGGAAGGGGCACGGGGGGACACGUGUCCCCCUUAAAUAUUUUUUUUGCAUUUUUUCACCAUUUUAAAUUUUGAAAAAUUAUAAAAGUGCCCCCAAAAAAUUUAAAAAUAUAUAGGUGUUUUCUGAAAAUUUGCUUCGUGCCCCCCUAACAUUUUUGUGCUAGAUCCGCCCCUGGGUAAGAUCGGUGAAUAUUAAGGCUUUGUUUGGACUAGAUGCGCAAAAAUAACUCUCCACACUGUUAGUUAUCCAUCGUUUAACUAUAUAACAGAAAUUUUACUACAAUCCCGAAUCAUAACUCAUAUGAUACUAUUCCUAAUCACGAGUGAAAAAAAAUUAGAUAAAAACAAGAUACAGGAUUCGGUAAUUAUUACACUUUAAUCAUCAUAAUAUUGGUGGAUUUGAUUAUUAAUGAUUCAAGCCAGUCGAAUUGACAAAUCAUUUGCUAUACGUGCUCCCUUUCUCAUCUUUAAGUGCAUCAUAUCCGAAUUACCCAAGAAGUGUAAAAUUGCAAAAUUUGAUCGAGGAUAACUGAUGAUAUGUUUUUUCUAUAUUGUGGUAGCAUACAGAGAUGUUAGCUUGUCAUCUUUAAAUCACUUUCCAGAGAAUAGACAACCAUUCACCAUAUUUCUGGAACUAGCCUGCCUAUACUCAGUUAUAAGACUGAAUAAUAGAGCAUAUUUAAAGAUUUUUCUUUGUUUGGCAAGUUCCCUGGAGAUGAGAAUUUAGAAGCCAGAGGCCAGAGUAACUACAAUGAUGCUCAUGUAUUAACAGUAACCCAUGAGCUAAAAUUUUGAAUGGUGAUCAUUUAAAGAAUAAAAUAAUUUUUAACAAUGAUAUAAAGAGAUAAUACAAAGAGAUAUUUUGAUGAUUAUUUUUAGCAUGUUAUUUUAAUAAUAACAUUACAAUAUAGAUCAAUCUCUCAAACAUACUCAAUGGUCGUUUGGUUGAUAGGGAGUUUGUCAGGUAUUUAAAAUAUUUAGGAAUUGAUUAUCGACGCAGUUGUUUGGUUUACCAAAAACACCGGAAGUUCAAAUGGCUGGGAAAUUAUAUUACCGGAGUAAUUUUUAAAAUUCAUAUAAAUUUUGGAAUAUUAUUAUUUUUGUUAAAUAAUAUUAUUUAUCAUUUACUUAGAGUAAAAACACUAUGAUUAUUAAAAUAUAACAGGUCAGAAUUUAAACAUACAAAUAAACAAACAAUUGAUUAUCGACGCAGUUGUUUGGUUUACCAAAAACACCGGAAGUUCAAAUGGCUGGGAAAUUAUAUUACCGGAGUAAUUUUUAAAAUUCAUAUAAAUUUUGGAAUAUUAUUAUUUUUGUUAAAUAAUAUUAUUUAUCAUUUACUUAGAGUAAAAACACUAUGAUUAUUAAAAUAUAACAGGUCAGAAUUUAAACAUACAAAUAAACAAACAAUAUGAAGGAAUUAUAUUACCCUACAUAUCAACCAAACAGUUUUAUAUUACUUACCAGGUAUUUAGUAAAGAUGAGAAGUAGAAAUUUAUGUAGGAAAUUACUUCCCAAAGUGAUACCAAACAAGCACUUAGUGACAUUUUCUGAAUAAAAAUAAUACUAUAUAAACUCCUUUCUGUUUUGUCUCAUUAAACUGAACUCAAUUUUAAAUAUAUUUAAACGACAAGUAAUAGUGCUUGUUUGGUUGACAUCUGGAUAUGUGGGGAGUAGAAGUUCCUAUGAAGUAGUAUUUGAUGAAAUUGUUUGGUUGACAUUAAUUGGGGAAGUGUAAGUUCCUUGGAAUUUUAAAUGCCUACAAAACAUAAGAAGUUAUUGACCUAGACCCCCUUGGUAACUGGCACUUUCUGUAGGAAGUUAAAAUCUAUCUAUCAACCAAACACAAAUUUUAACUUCCCAUUUAUUAUAAUUUCCAUAGUAAUUUCAAAUUACAUAGGAUUUAAUUUCCUAUUGGUAACCAAACAAGCACUAUAAAUGCGAAUUGAGAAUAGAAAUGUGAGGUGAGAAAACAGGAAGCACAAUACAAGAAUAAUUUGGUAUAUUCAAAAAUAUAAAAAAGAUGAUUCAUGAAAAUCUUUUAUAUCGUAUAACAAAAUUGCUUAUUCAAAAUAUUAACCAAAUGUCUCCCCGAAAUUCCUAUUUUCCUCAUAAACUUCCUUGUCCAAAUCUUUUUGGAAGGAUUUUAGGCAAACUCUUCUUUCAUGUCUAGAAAAGAGCAAUAACGAGAUAAAAUAUAAGUUGGGCAGCUGAAUUCAGCUCAAGAAAACGAAAAAGCAAAGUGAAAGGAACAAUUUUUACAAGAAGCUGGUAAACGUAAACUGUGUUAUCUGAGCCACAUUCCGUCAGGCAGCUCCUUUAUAUGUAUGUAGUAUUUCCUGAUUCGAACAAUUUUUUGUCCAUUUGGGAAUAUUUUAAAAAAAUAUUAUAGCACCGUAAUAAUAAUAAUUUAGUAACAUAGCAACGGGUAAGGUUGAGUUAGUAUAUCUCAUUGUAUACAUUGAAUUUGGUUGAACUUGAGCAUCGACAUAAAUGGCAAACUUGAUGACAUUUAAGGUGGUUCGGCUGAGCAGGCCCCUGGUCUUACAACUCGUUCUUACCAAUUUUAGGAAUUCCACUGAAACUGUGGGCGUUUACCCUCGUGGUGCCAAGUGGGACCCACUAUAUCUCCACGUGUCAUCGUAUACUACAACAGUAAGACACUUGCCCAAAGCACAGUCCCCAGCUGCCCUGUGACUGUUAUCUUGACGGCGUGUAACGGCGGCGAAGGGCGGUUUAAGAUGGGGUUGUGGGUCCCAAUUGUGGUGGUGGAACCCUCCUUCAGGAUAUCGGAGGUUUUUGUGGUGGGGGCCCACUCGGAAGAUAAAUGUAGUUUGAGAAAAUUUGAAGUAGUAGAAAGAAAAGAAAAGGGUGGUGGGUCCCAAAAUGGGCUAGUUUCGUCCGUUAGUAUCUAGUUCGUGUCUAUAUAAACUAACCAAACUACCUCAAUAUAUCUCACAUAUUCACAUACUACACAAAUACAAUCCUUCUCUCUCACACUCUCUCCCCCCUGUCCACUAAUCUCUGACCCAUCUCUCUCUCUCUCCCUCUCUCUCUGUUUGGCAUUCAAUCCAGCCUCAUUUUGAGCCUGCUUUGCAUACAUUCCAAAACAGAGCACUCUGUUUCUUCCCCUGUUUCACAAAACUCUCGAACCAAAGAUGACCAAAAAGAAUGUGCUUGUCAAGGAAUCAGGUCUUGAGAUGGCCAUAAACAUGGCCGUCUCAAACUCUUCCAUUUUCACGACGGCGGCUCAGAAGCCGCCGUCUGUGCCAGGCGGUUACAUAACCAUCUCCCGGAAGAAGUUACUUCAGAAUCUCGAGAUUAAUGGAGGAACAAGAAUCAACUCUUGGGUUGAUUCCAUGCGAGCUUCUUCACCUACUCACCACAAAGCCUCGCAUUCACUUGCUGAUGACCACAGCUCUUGGAUGGUAACUUUUCGAAUCUCUAGUAUUCGAUAAUCAAAUUUCGUAAUCUUUACAAUAACUUUUACCUAUAAAUAUUGAUUAAAUGAUUUUACUGUAACAGCUUCAGCAUCCAUCAGCUCUAGACAUGUUUGAGCAGAUUACGAAAGCUUCCAAGGGGAAACAAAUAGUCAUGUUCCUUGACUACGACGGAACCCUCUCUCCCAUUGUUGAGGACCCAGAUCGUGCUUUCAUGUCUGAUGCUGUGAGUUCUUCAUCUCAAUACUCAUUUUCACAUUAAUUCACACACUCCCUACGUACAUGUAUAUAUGCAUGUUCGCGUUCCGCUACAAACUAUCUUAACUCCGAACACUUCAGAAUUAGUUGCAACUCAUCCCAACACUCCUAAAAUUAUGAGUCUUUACUGAAUUUAAUGGAAUAACUCAAGUGCUAAUAUAGUUAUUGGACUGAAUAACAGAUGAGAGCAACAGUUCGAAAGCUUGCUAGAUAUUUUCCAACUGCUAUAGUGAGUGGAAGAUGCAGAGACAAGGUACAAGGCAGCCACCUAUUUUACUUUAACUAGACUGUUUAUUUUUGAUUAAAUUUGAUGACUAAAGCUGUGUACUUUGAUUAUACAUAGGUGUAUAGUUUCGUACGUUUGGCAGAAUUGUACUAUGCCGGAAGCCACGGUAUGGACAUAAAAGGACCUUCAAAAGGAUCCAACUAUGCCAAGGUAAAUCAUCACUUAACUAAUUGUACUAUUGGCCUUAUUAGCUGUCAAAUUUUUGGUAUUCUAAUAAUUCUUGUUUGUGUUUUUCUUUUAGAGUGCUCAAUCUGUUCUUUGCCAGCCAGCCAGUGAAUUCCUACCUAUGAUAGAUGAGGUAUAUUUUUAAAUUUUUUUUAGAAGGCUCUUAAGAUGAUUUUUUUGAAAUGGAGGACUCAUUUAAAUAUAAAUCUUCAGGUUUACCAGAUACUCCUGGAGAAAACAAAAUCUACUCCUGGUGCUAAGGUGGAGAAUAACAAGUUCUGUCUUUCUGUGCAUUUUCGCUGUGUUGAGGAGAAGGUAGAAUCCGAUCCUAAUAAACACACAAUUUUUGACUUGCAUACAUAAAAUGUGUAUUGGGUGCACGAAUUCGUCAAGCUACGCAGUUUUAUCCUUAUUUUUCACAAAGAGAACGUUUCAUGUAUAUGUAUAAGUCAUAAAAAAGACAACUUUUUUCAAACGUUUUUUUGUGCUAGAUGAUACCAUGCAUGGCCAAGAUCAUGCCAUGGAACAAGUCUUGGUUUAGUUAAAACUACAUAAUUAGUACAUGUUAAUGAUUUUUAUGGUAAUUAAAAUUUAAUUAACAAGUUGAUUUAUAUUUUAUUAUGUUGGUAAACACAGAGAUGGAGUGAACUGGCACAACAAGUUCGGUCAGUGUUGAAGGAGUACCCAAAGCUUCGAUUGACACAAGGAAGAAAGGUGAGCGACACGGCACUUGAUUAUUGCUUUCAAACUAUUGUUUAUACAUAAGCAAUCGAAAUUUUAUAUUGCAGUGAUUCUAUCAGUUUUGUUUAUGCUUAGUUGAUUGAUGUUUCACUUGAUUAAUAUUAAUGGUUUGAUUAAUUAAUCACAGGUAUUAGAGAUACGUCCUACCAUCAAGUGGGACAAAGGCAAGGCGCUUGAGUUUCUGUUGGAAUCACUCGGUGAGUUUGAUUUAAAACCAUAUUUUGAUAACUUAAAAGAUAUAGUAUACGUUAGUCGUUGGAAUAUUUGUGAACCGGACAAGAAAAAGUUAAAAAUGGAGCCAUCAUACUUGAUUAACAACACGAGUUGUUCUUAGUCGCUAACUUUUGUGAUUUAUCUUCUGAAACAGGGUAUGCUAAUUGUGCCGACGUCUUUCCUGUUUACAUUGGCGAUGAUAGAACCGAUGAAGAUGCGUUUAAGGUACACAGAGCAUGUGGUUAAGGCUAAUAUUUUUGUUCAUUGUUUGUACUUACUGAGCUGGUGAUUAAGACAUGUGUUCUUUAUUUUUGCUAAUUAGGUGUUAAGAGACAGAGGACAAGGUUUCGGCAUUCUUGUUUCCAAAAUCCCCAAGGAAACAAAUGCAGCUUAUUCUUUACAGGAGCCAUCUGAGGUAUAGCUCAUUGUCCCUCAUGGUUAUAAACUGUAUAUAAUUCGAAUCAAUAGAAUUUUUCCUGAUGUAUCGCGUAACUUGUAAUAGGUGAUGGAUUUCUUACGACGACUGGUGGAGUGGAAACGGCUAUCUCUGAGAAGACAAUUCAGAAUGCUGAGAAGAGCUGUAUUAGAUGAUGGAUUACUCACUAAGUUGGAUAAAGCGGAACCGAUAAUUACAGUUCAGGAUGCCGAGAUGACAUGCGCAUGAGGGCAUCAAAAUAAUCUACCCUGUUGAUGAAUUAUGUCUAGAAUAUUAGGUGGAUAUGCAAAUAUAUAUCAAAAUAUAGUAUGUAUCUGUAAACUCUUGUUUGAAGAACAACAAGAGGGCUAAGGGGAAAUGAACAGAGGCCUUUCUUUUUGCCUCGAGGCCUUGUACAUUUGUAUCUAGUCAUGUACAAGGGGGAAGUCUGUAAUGUUCAACUUGUUUGAUCAAUGAAUAGAUGGUUUUCUAGCAUCUCAAAAUUCUGGGGAAUUUAUGCACAAAGAGUCUUGUUCUUAAAACCAAUUAAUUUCAACAGUUGACUACAUGUAUUUAUAUUUUGUCUUGUGCAUCAUUUUUACAAACAGAGAAUCCUAAAUAAGUUGAAAGGAACAAAUAUACAAUGAAACAAUGCAUGCUCUGAAUACCUCUCCUUUCAAUCUCAGUGUUUUCUCCAAUCCUCCAUGCAUGCUUGAGCUAUUACAUUGAAUACCAUAAAAAUCGGGUUGAAACAAAAACUUUUUUACCCAUCCACUCUGCAUCCUACCGACUUGAGACUAUGUAGUGUUGGGAGAUCCGGUAACUUAACAAUCUUCGACCGUUAUAAGCAUACUUAUUACGAAUUUUACAUCUUAAUUUUCAGAACAUAUUUCUCAGAAAAUCUACACAGAAAUCCAACAUUUUUACGAUAUUAAACAUAUCAAUCAUGAAUUUUACAUCCUAGUUUUCAGAAUAUAUUUUUCAAUAAAUUUAUACAGAAAUCAAAUAUUUGUUGACAAUCUUAACAAUAUUCAACAUUAUAAACAUACCCAUCACGAAUCUUGUAUUUUAAUUUUCAGAACUUGUUACUCAAAAAACCUAUACAGAAAUCAAAUAUUUGUUUACCAUCAUAGUUAUGUAUGCCAAAUGUGUCGGUAGAAAAUAACAAUAUAGAUCUAAAUUUUUGUUCUGUUUCCUUUAUCCCGGAUGUUGGAUCUAGAUGCAACCAUUUUACAGACGACAAAUUAUUUAUUGGGUUAGGCAGUAGCUUUAUCGAUUAACUUUGAUUAUUAUAAGCCCCGUUUCAAUACAAUCCAAGAGAGAUAUUCAACACUUCCAAGAAAGAUGUGCCCAUGUUCUUGCAAAUGAAACAGAUACACCACUGCUCUGUGUAGUGUGCACUAUGAUUUUCUUAAUCAGAUUUUAUAAUUAAUUUUCACGGAAAUGCUCAACUAACAAUAAUUGGACUCCUUAAGCAAAUAUUGGGGUAUUAAAGAAAUAGCUUCAUCGUUCCAUCACCGACAUAAACUCAAGUAAUAGAAAUGAAAAUUAAGUAAAAGCAGAACCCCACACCAAGUUGUCUCUGUUGCUUAAUUAUAUCUUCUUAAGAUCUGUAUCUAGAAAAGCUUAGCCAUUGCUCAGAAACACAAUAACAACCCUUCCUCAUUGGUUGAUUAGAUUUGGGUCGAAAGGAACAAGAGCUUGAGGCUUAUGUGGGGUAAUAACUUGCAACUAUAUCUAUAACAAUAUACUUGACACAAAUUUAAGUACAUUCAAUACAGUACCAGUUGGAGUAUUAACAAAUGUUAAUGAAUGUACCGAGUGGGCAUGCGUUAAAUCAAGUCUCCUAUCAUAAAUAUAAAAACGAUUUGUUUUUAAUAUAAACAAUUAAAUUAAAGAACUUUAUCAGUGUGAGUCUUUUUGAACAAACCCAAAAACAAAUCCUUAAGAACUUGUUCACGAUCCAAAAUAGACAAUAUCAUAUUAAUACGAAAUUAAUGGAUGUUGCGCGGCUCAAUGAGUGGUAUUGAUAUCAAAAUCAAUAGUUAAAAAUUGAUGGUUAAAAAGUUGAUCAUGAAAUUACGAGCUGUAAGUUCUGUGAUGUGGGAGGCUAUCAAAUUAUGAUUGAUGAUCUUGGACGACUAAAAUUCCUGAGACCGAAGUGGUUGGCCAUUUGAGAGAAUCCAAAAACAAAUAGUCCACAGACAAUAUCAUACUAAUAUGAUCGUUGCGUGACCACCAUUAUAAUAAUACCUGUCAAAUAACGGAUUUGACUAAAAUAUUAAUGUGUUAUAAGAAUGACCAUUUAAGUUCGUGAGCGGAAUCUUCUGUGAAUUUGACUCUAUAGGAUGUAAGUGAAUGAUUUAUCUAAAAUCUUAAAACAUAGGAGGAAGACACAACAAAAUUUUAUAAAAACUAUUCCCCAGACCCAAAGAGUACUCCACCAAACUAGAUACCGAAUUGUACAAGUGUGUAUAUACAAUCCUUGGAAGACGAAAGAUGAAGUUUGAAAAGGAAAGGCACGUCCGGGGAAUCUAUAAAUGGUUGAAAGUGGAGUUGGAAUCCACUUAGAAGGGGGCCAAUGUGGGGAAUUAAGUGCUUGAAAAAUGCAUGGAUUUUGAAAGAGGUGGCUAGCUAGGGACACUAAGAAGCCUCCAAGUUUCAUUUUUGUAUGCUGGUUAUAAUAAUAUCAUUUUAAUUUGCAAUCUUACAUUCUUUUACUUUCACUCGGACGUGUAAAGAUGGAGUCCAUUGAAUCAACUCACAUCAUGAUUGGUAGGCCUGAAUUAAACAACUUAACUACCCCAUCUCUUCAUUCAAUUAUUGCAGCCUUGCUUUCCCAAGGCAGCGCAGGGGCUUCUCGCUCUGCCCCCUCACUCAAACAACACCAUGUUCAGCACCCUGAGUUUAGGCUCGGGACCAUGACUUCCGAACUUUGUCAUUUGACCCAAAUUUUCAAAUUAUAUGGGCGAUUUGCUGAUAUUUCUCCGAAGAUGAGUUUCCAAUAGUCCGCUCUCUGACCAAAAAUAACGAGUUUUCGAGUGAGGGGAAAUGUCAAACAUGUACCCGAAGAAGUUCCAAAGUUGGUGCAGUUUAAUGUAUUAUGAGUAUAUAAAUACCGGCGGAUGCUGACAUUCCAUGCAUGAUAAUAACCAUACCGGUAUUAUCUGCACGAAAGAAUGCAGCUGAGAACAUAUCUUGGUAGCCCAGUUAAGCCCUGUAGCAUUUCCUUAGGUGGGGUCCUAGCUAGGCAAUUAAAUUACUACACAUCACAAUUCACACGUGUAUAUGUGUGUGUUUCUGGUGUGAUGAUAGACUAAUAAUGUGAACACCAGUCAUGUGAAUAAAAGAUUAUAUUUUGUGAUUAAGACACAUUUUACAAGUUGGAGAUGGAUCAGCGAAGCAUGAAACUGGCAUUCUCCCAGAAUAAAAUGCAAGCAAAAGAAUACAAACACAAGCACCAGUCCUCAGUGCUGUCUGUGGACUUUAGGUCCAGUAAUGCCACUCUCCUGGAAGACUAAAUGAUCUUACAAAUAAUAUUAAAUUAUUUUCGGAGUCUGUGGGUCUGAGUGUAGGUCGGACGUGCCUAACUUACUAUUGAGACUGUAUCACAGUCUCCACACCAUGCACUUAUGUCACAGCACCAUGCUUUGCACAGUAAUACAUCACAGCUGGUCGAUAUAUCAGAUGCUCAUCUGUUAGAGUUAGUUAGACGUUAUAUAGAUACAUAUAGUAUCAGGUGAUGUAUGUAUAAGAGUUUGUUAGCUAGCAUUUGUAUAUAAACACUACUCUGCACAGACAUUGUAAUCAAGUUUGUAUAGUGAAGUUUAUACAGUUUUCUUUCUCUCCAAGAUACAGAAGCUCUCUCUCUCUACAUCUCAUAGAUAAUUUCAUACAAAUUAACAUGGUAUCAGAGCAGUACGAUCUCGGGUGAAUUGUUUCCAUGGCGACUCUGUUCAUCUCUCUCGCGAUUGUAAUCUCUCUGCUGCAUUUGUGAUUUCUGCAUCUCUGUGUUUUCUUCAAUCAGGUGUUUUCUGCUUCUUUUUCUUCGAUCUUCGUAUCUCUAGUCUCUAUUGUUCAUCUCUCUGCGUGUACAUACACAUUUCUUGCAUUUCUUAUGGCGAAUACAGUACCUAUUGUAGAUCCUUCAAGUGUUUUUUACAUUCAUCCUAGUGAAGCAACAACAAAUCAGUUAGUUUCUGUGAAAUUUAAUGGAUCUGGCUUUGCAAAUUGGAAACGCUCAAUGUUACUGAGUUUAUCUACUAGAAAUAAACUCGGUUUUGUUAAUGGCACUAUCUUGAAACCUGAUGUUAAUGAUCCUGAUUAUGUUCUCUGGGAACGCUGUAAUUCUCUGGUUACAACCUGGAUUUUGUUCAAUCUUGAUGAGACUAUUGCUAGUAGUGUCUUGUACUUCAAGACUGCUAAAGAUAUCUGGAAAGAUCUUGAAGCUCGAUUUGGACUUGUGUCAAUUACACAAGUUUAUUCUCUUCAGCAACAAUUAGCUGAUAUUUCUCAGGGUAAACAAACUGUUUCCGAAUUUUACACUGCUAUUAAAGCAAUUUGGGAUCGUCUGGAUGAUGUUGAUCCAAUUCCUCAAAAUACUGCUUGCAAUUGUGAUUUGAGUCAAAAGGUUGAACAAAGGCUUCAAAAACACAGGCUGGUUGAAUUUCUGAUGAAACUGAAUGAUCAGUUUUCUAUUGUUAGGGGACACAUUCUCCUAAUGAAUCCAACACCUACUGUUCAACAGGCAUAUAAUAUGAUUUCACAGGAGGAGAACCAUAAGGAAAUGACUGUUGCUCAAACAAACAGUUUGGCCUUAAUAGCUGACAAGAAGCCUAAUAAUUACAGGAACAAUUCUUCUGGUAAUUACCAGACUGAUUCACAGAAGUUUGGUUCAUCUAAUACUGGCAAUUCAGGUCAAAACACCAGGAAAUCUAAAGGAUCCAACUAUUACUGCACCAACUGCAAAAUACCAGGUCACAGCAUUGAUAGGUGCUUCAAGAUUCAUGGUUAUCCUGCAGGUUUUCAACCAAAAGAAAGGAAAGUUGCUGCAGUUUCUACAACUGAGGACAUUGCUGCAAUUUCAACCUCUCUUUCUACUGAUCAGUACAACACUCUCCUUCAUAUGAUCUCAAACCACAAAGUUGAUCCAUCUGAUAAUUCUCAAGCACAUUUGGCAGGUAAAACUUGCUUACUAUCAUUUCUUGACUGUAACUGGCUGUUAGAUAGUGGAGCAACUGACCACAUUACACCAUCAUUGGAUAAUUUUAUCCAUUACACUGCUGUUACUGGAUCAGAUAAUUGCAUAACCAUACCAGAUGGCAGUCAAAUAAAAGCAGCACAUAUAGGCACUGUUGAUCUGGGUAACAAUAUCAUUUUACAAAAUGUUCUACAUGUGCCUGAAUUUCAUUUUAGACUUAUAUCAGUUCAUAAACUCUGUAGAGAUAUGAACUGCCAGAUUUUUUUCAACAACAAUUCUUGCUUCUUACAGGACCUUUCUCAGAAAAGGCAGCCAAUUCUUCUUGGUAACCUGAGAAAUGGUCUCUACACUGUGGAGUCCAAAUCCUCCUCAGCAAAGCUUUGUUUUAGUGCAUCUCACACUCCUGCUACAGCACAACUUUGGCAUCUCAGACUUGGCCACAUGCCAUUUUCUCAACUGAAGUAUUUGAAGAAUUCUAUUGCUUGUGAUCUGAACAAUGUAUCUGAUUCUAUCUGUCAAGUAUGUCCCUUAGCUAGACAGACUAGAUUUCCUUUUCCUCAUAGCUCUAUUAAGACUACUGCUGCAUUACAAUUGUUACAUGUUGAUCUUUGGGGACCUUACAAGGUCAAAACACAGUUUGGAUGUAAUCAAUUUGUUACUAUAGUAGAUGAUUUUACUCGUUUUACAUGGGUUCAUCUCAUUAAGUACAAAUCAGAUGCAUCUACUGUGAUUGAAGAUUUUAUUGUAUAUGCUGAAAAACAGUUUAAGUCAACUGUUUUAUGUGUGAGAUCUGACAAUGCUCCUGAACUGUGUCAAGGGAGAUUAAAAAUUUUCUUUCAGAAUAAGGGCAUUACUCACCAGACAAGUUGUGCCUACACCCCUCAACAGAAUGGGGUUGUAGAGCGGAAACAUAGGCAUCUCUUAGAAACAUCAAGAGCCUUAUUGUUUCAGUCAAGAGUACCUGAUAAAUACUGGGGAGAGUGCAUUAUGUGUGCUGCAUAUCUCAUUAAUCGAAUGCCUCUUUCAAGCAUUCAAAAUGCAACUCCAUACAGGCUGUUAUAUGAUGAAGAACCUGAUUACAACUUGCUCAAGCCUUUUGGAUGUUUAUGUUAUACUUCUACUUCACAAGUUGACAGAUCAAAACUUGAUCCCAGAGCUUCACCCUGUGUGUUCCUUGGGUAUACACCUACUCAGAAGGGAUUUAAGGUACUUGAUAUUUCCUCUCAGAAAAUCUCAGUAUCCAGAGAUAUUGUGUUUCAUGAAUUACAUUUCCCAUUUCAUAAUAUUGCCAAAGACACCAAAUUCUAUUCUUCCAAUCCAAUUUAUCUUCCUACUGUCACAGAACCUACAUCUGAGUUUUAUUCUGAGUUAUUUACCAAUGCUCAAACUGGAGAUGCAUCACAGAAUUCAAAUAAUAACAAUACUGCAGAGUUCAGUACUGAUACUGCAGAUUUCAGUACUGAUUCCUCUCCAGAAUCCUCUAAUACUAGCACUUCUGCAAAUUCUUCUAAUCCUUCCAUUCCUGUUAGAACUUCAAGCAGACUUAAGACACAACCUCAGUAUCUUAAGGACUAUCACUGUCAUACUGCAUUCACUCAUCACACUGCUUUUCUUUCAAAAUUAGAUCACAUUUCUGAACCUAAAAAUUACAAAGAAGCUGCUGCACAUCCCUUAUGGCAAGAAGCCAUGAACAAAGAAAUUGAAGCUUUACACAAAAACAAGACUUGGGAUCUUGUUCCACUACCUAAAGGAAAGAAAGCCAUUGGCCACAGAUGGGUUUUCAAAGUAAAAUUACGAGCAGAUGGUUCCCUUGAGCGUUGUAAAGCACGGUUAGUAGCCAAGGGCUACAACCAACAAUAUGGUGUUGAUUACGAAGAGACUUUUUCUCCUGUUGUAAAAAUGAACACCAUACGAUGUUUACUGGCACUUGCAGCAAGCAGAAAAUGGUCUAUUUUUCAACUUGAUGUUAAUAACGCCUUUCUGCAUGGCAAUCUUUCUGAGGAAGUUUACAUGACAGUUCCAGAAGGUAUUCCAAAUCCACAAAAUCUUGUCUGUCGACUCAGAAAGUCCAUUUACGGACUUAAGCAAGCAUCAAGAGAGUGGUUCGAUAAACUUCUGCAUGAGUUAAUUGCUCAGGGCUUCAAACAAUCCAAAAAUGACUACAGUCUGUUUGUUAAGAAGACAGAUCAUGACAUUACCAUUAUGGCUGUUUAUGUCGAUGACAUAAUCAUCACAGGUACUGAUCACACUUGUAUUCAGCAAAUUAAGUCUCAUUUGCAUGAAACAUUCAGCAUAAAAGACUUAGGCAUUCUGCAUUACUUUCUUGGACUAGAAGUCGAUUAUGUUAAGGAUGGUAUUUACCCUUCGACAUUUCUAAGAAUGCUGUCACUCCUUUACCACAGCAUCUUAAACUUGAUACUACAGAUGGUCCAUUAUUGUCUGAUCCAGAACUAUACAGAUCACUCGUUGGUAAAUUGAAUUACCUUACUCAUACCAGACCAGACCUGAACUAUUCUGUUCAAGUUUUAAGUCAGUUCAUGCAUUCCCCUCGUACACCACACUUUGAUGCAUUAGCACAUACAUUACGUUAUGUUGCUCAUUCAUCACAUCAAGGAAUUUUACUCAGAGCAUCUGAUUCUUUAACACUACAAGCUUAUUCUGAUAGUGAUUGGGCAUCAUGUCCUAACACUAGACGCUCCAUUACUGGUUAUGUCCUACUGUUUGGUUCUUCUCCAGUAGCUUGGAAAUCUAAGAAACAGUGCACUGUCUCACGUUCUUCUUCUGAAAGUGAGUACAGAGCCAUGGCAUCAGCCGCUGCAGAUGUUACUUGGACUGUGAGACUGCUCGAAGAAUUAGGAGUCACUGAUUUGAAACCUGUCACCUUACAUUGUGACAACCAAUCUGCUAUAGCCAUUGCCAAGAAUCCCGUUUUUCACGAGCGGACAAAACAUAUAGAGAUCGAUUGCCACUUUACACGUGAUAAAGUUUUAGAAGGACUACUGCAGUUAACCUAUCUUCCUACUACUCAUCAACUUGCUGAUGUGUUUACAAAGAUUCUCCCUUCCCAUCAGUUUGACACUCUUCUAUCCAAGUUGGGAGUAUUUUCAUCACCUACUUCCAACUUGAGGGGGGAUAUUGAGACUGUAUCACAGUCUCCACACCAUGCACUUAUGUCACAGCACCAUGCUUUGCACAGUAAUACAUCACAGCUGGUCGAUAUAUCAGAUGCUCAUCUGUUAGAGUUAGUUAGACGUUAUAUAGAUACAUAUAGUAUCAGGUGAUGUAUGUAUAAGAGUUUGUUAGCUAGCAUUUGUAUAUAAACACUACUCUGCACAGACAUUGUAAUCAAGUUUGUAUAGUGAAGUUUAUACAGUUUUCUUUCUCUCCAAGAUACAGAAGCUCUCUCUCUCUACAUCUCAUAGAUAAUUUCAUACAAAUUAACACUUACAAUCAUGGUAUGGUAUGAAACUAUGAAUCAACUGUGUGACCCAUAUGUUCUUCUUAGAGGAAACAAAUUGACACAGACCAAGCCUCAUAUUAUUGUCCUGGAAGAAUGGUAAAUCUCUGCAUUAUACAAAGGCUCAAGCAACUGUUCCAGCUUGGGUCCGAUCACCGAUGAUAUAACAAGCAAAUCUCGACUUGACUUCAUUGUGGUCAAUAUGCAUCAAAAAGUCAUAACAUUCAUGAAAAUAACUGAUCAAGAACUAACAGUAACUCAAUUGGCAUAUCGAUAUUGUGGGAAACAUCUGGUUCCGACCAUCUAACAUUUCUUGUCCCUCUUUCUGUUUUUUCCCUCUAUCUCUCUCUUCCUAAAUAAUUUGAGAUAUUAUACACGAGGGGUCUUUUUUACAUUAUUCAACUAACAAUUUAUAAUAUAAUUUUGUGGGACUCGUGACAGUUCCUCUUGAAAAUACGACUUCUAUUUAUU
rnacentral:lncRNA from 1 species